rnacentral:lncRNA from 1 species
AAAAAAGAGGAUUAUCUAAUCCAUUCUGUACAAACCACAAAAGUUUGCUAAGAGGCAUGUUACAGCAUUUUCAACCGGCUAAACUCAAAAAUUUGAACCUUUAUAUUCCAUAUCCUCUUGAACCAAAUGGUAUCAAGCAUUACGAGCAUUGUACUCACUAGAUCUCAAACUAAAAGACGUGAGAAUUAGUCCAUAAGUUAGGUAUAUCUUGUAAUUUGACCUGAUUUGAUGGUGGGUCUGGGUUGCAACGACUGGACGGGAUCUCAGACGGACUUGCUGGAAUGUUGCAUGUCAACUUCCUGCUACGACAACACUCCUAACAAUUAACAUCCCAAUUUUGCUUAUGAAAAAACAGGGAGAUAUUAGAAUGAUAUCUCAAUACUUCAAGCCAUUCACAAACAUUUUCCAUGUAAUUGGUUGCAAUACCAGACGAGCUUAAGCCUGCCACCAAUAAUCUGCUUCACCUUAAAUCACGAAUAAGGCAAAAAUGCUAUCCUCCGCUCAUCAUUCGGCCUCAACAGAUCACAGGUGGAAGGUUAAGUGUGUGAGUAGUUAAAGGGGAAAUACCCUUUUUGAUAAAUGUGCCAAGAUGAAAGUCACUAUAGUCAAAAGGGUAUAAAUAUCCCAACACAAGUCUAUAUGGUCAUUUCCGAAACCACGCAAAGACGUCGGUGUCGUUUCCCCACAACAAUAAAUAGAAAUCACCAUACUUCCACAAUUAUCCAAAGAGCGCGAACCCUGACACAUCAUAAAAACUAUUAUAAAUCUAUUUACAGAAUAAACUUGACUGAACGGAGGCAUCGUGUGAUAUUUGCAUCCCCACAAUUUCUUAUCAGAUUCAAUUCAUAAAACAAAUAGGAACACGUAUAAAAUUUAAAUAAAAUUCUUUCAAAUUUUUUUUUUGUUUGGUGCGCGCGCGCCAAAAAUUGAAAUUUUGCAGAUUAAAUUACUACCAGAUGAUGAAGUACAAAACAAAAAUCAUCAUAUUCUGACAAUGACACAUAAUAGAAAACAAAACAAAAAAAAAAUCGAGACUUACGUUGUCAUUCAAAGCUUUGAUCCAAUUUGAGCAUCCUGAAACAGGGUUUUUCUUAAUCAUUCUUAGCGUUUUCUUCGUGAAGUUUGACUUUAUAUGCAAAGGAAAGUAGGUCACUAAUUAUUAAAUUAUCAAAAUACCCUUGACAUUUAAGUGUACAGGAGCUGACGCUUAAGGGUAUCGUAGUCAUUGUAUGGGUUUAGGCACCCAUUUGGGACGAAUAGAAAACUACCGUCCUUAUUUGAGAAAUAAUGCUAUUUGACACAGAAGUAUAAAUAAAUUCUCAACUUCCUCCCGUUUCCGUGAAAAUUUUGUUUUCAGUGCAGUGGAAUUGAAUUAAUCUGAAGGAAAAAAAAAAUUGUUGGUAUGUGGAAAUUAUACUUGAAACGUUGUCGUUUUUGGCAUAAUUGCUGUGAUAUACUUAUUUGCUUUGUGUUUUUAUUUCUUUUUUCUGGGUUUUAGGGUCACAAUCGGAGAGAGAAGACAAUGUCUCGUUGGAACUCUCUGAAGAAGUUCUUCAGAGCAUGGAAGUGGGCAUUUCUUUUAGAGAUUAUGUAAGAGAAUCUUCUAAUAAGUUUCUGUUUGAGGAACAUACUUGAUUUGCGUUUUAAAUGUAUCUGUUUGUUAAUUCAGUGUCGUUUUGUAUUGAUUCGUGUUUUAACAGAAUGGGAGAAUUAGUUCCUUGGAUUUUCAUAAAUCAUCGAGUUAUUUGGUGACGGCUAGUGAUGAUGAAUCUAUACGGCUGUACGAUGUCUCUGCUGCCACUUAAGUUGAUCCUCUGUUUCUUAGGAUUUUAUGUUGUCUCUUGGGAAGUGCUUUUAACUAAGAAAUGGCUUUUGAAUAAGUAUAAAAAGCUGGUUUCAAUCUUGCAAUGUUUGUUUGAAAUUGCAGGAAUAAUAAAGUGUCUCUUUUGAAAUCAAAGGAACCCUUGAAGUGUUUUUCUGGGGAAGUGCUUGAUAUCUGCUUUCAUGGAUAGAACUUUUUGGAUUAGGAAACCACUUGUAGUGCUGUUUGAAGAAGUGCUUCAUAUAUGUUUCAAAGUGAUUUUACUCGAGGGUACUUUCCAUUAAAGCAUUGCUGAACGUAUCAUCUGCGUGUUUGAUGAGCUCAUGAAAGCUACUGUCUUUCUAAGAUGGAGAAAAAUGCUUUUUAGAUGAAACAGAAAAAAAAAAAAAAAAAUAGAACCUUGGAGUGGUUUUCGGGGAAGUGCUUAAGGGAAAUGUAAUUGAUAUAUUUUUCAAGAACUUUUGUAAAAAGGCCUUUUCUUUUCUUUCUUUUUUUUUGUUUGCAUAAGCUCUUUCUAUAAGAUCACUGCCAAAUGCACUUCAGUUGUCUUAGCUGAGCAUGAUAGUUGGUAUUGCAAUUGUUGCUGAGAGCCUUAAUUGAAAUUUCAGAUGUUUGAAGACAAUUAACAGCAAAAAAUAUGGGAAUAUUUGUAUUUUGUUUGUUGGUGGAUUGCUUUACUAGGCACUUAUUUGAUACGUUCAUUUAUUCAGAAUCUCUACGGCUUCUUUCCUCGCACGAUAACAAGUACUUGCGUUACUUCAAAGGUCAUCAUAACAGGUUUGUAAUUCACUUAUUCUUGUAAAUAUUUCGUAAUUAUUAUUAUCUGUAUAUAUGUUUUACUGCUUCUAGGGUUGUUUCACUUAGCCUGUGCUCCUCCAAAGAUUGCUUUAUCUCUGGUUCUCUUGGUCAAUCUGUUCUGCUCUGGGAUCAACGGGCUGAGAAAUGCUAGGUGGAUAUCAUGCCAUCCACCAUUUUCAAUUGUAUUUAUGAUCUCUGUUGGCAAAUACGGGUCUUUUGCAUGUUCAAGGAAGGCCUGCUACAGCAUAUGAUGAUCAAGGGCCUGUCUUUGCAGUUGCCUUUGGAGGAUACAUAAGAAUGUUUGAUGCUCGUAAGUAGGAGAAAGUUAAAAUUAAUAUUUAAAAACAUCUUGGAAGUUUAUAUGUCGUACUUUUAUCAUGCACUAAUUUGGUUAAAUUUGGAUACAUCUUCUCUGAUGGUGGAGAUGUAUCAGAUUCUGAUGCUGGAAAGUUCAGCAAUGAUGGGAGACUUAUGCUUCCGACCUCUAUGGAAGGACAUAUUCAUGUGCUUGACUCAUUCCAAGGCACACUUGUGAGUUGACUUUUUCUUUCUUCAUCUCCCAAAUGUAACAUAUCGUACGUAUAUACCCCUCUAUACACUGGAAUCUCUGUGAAUGAGCUUCUGUUUACUCUUGUUUUUAUUUAUCCACUUAUGAUGCCAAGCCAGUUUCUCGCAAUUCCACAUUGGAGGCAUCUUUCAGCCCGGUAGAGUUUCUCCUUUCAGUUCUUAGGGCACAGUGACUUGGAUAUUUUGUUAAUAUUUGCUUUUGGCUGUUUUGAUAAUUUAUAUUAAAGUUCUUGCACUUGUGCUGUAUAUAAUUCUCAAAUUUGUUACCACCUUGUUGGUAUAUUGAAAUACACGACUUGAAAUGCUGGGCAUCAAGCUUGUUUCCGCAGAAUUCUUUGAAAUAAAUUCAUUUUCUCUUCUUCAUUGACUUGGUUUGAAACCCACUCCCAUCCAUGCAAAUCCAAAUGCGUACGUAUUUUCAUCUGGUUGUGCUUAUUAAUAAAAAUAAAUCAAUGAAAUGCUCAAACAGCAAGUGCACCCACACAUGUGGAAGCAGCCUAGUGUGGCCAAGCACCUCUCAUUUGUUUUAUGUGAUACAAUUGGUUUGUUGCACUCUUUGUGCUAAUUUUACUUUCUCGGUUUGGAAGGUUCUGAUGAUGGUAGUGGAUAUGCUUGGAGUGUACGGAGCGGGAAAGGGGUAUGAUAAGCAAAAUUCCUGGAUUCUCAUGCCUUUUGAAUGCUUAGAAUUCAAAGGGAUGUUAUUUCCCUUACAUUGACCCCAGUCAUAGCAUUCAUUGUCUUCUAGCCAAACCAACAAUGCUUUUGAAUCUACAUUUGAGCUUUGUAUAAGAAGUUGCACCAAUUAUGUAAGGAGAUGUUCAAUUUCCUAUAGUAGUAUGUAAAUGCAUCUGACUUACCUGCUAGUAACCUUUCCUAACAAGUUCUGAAGAAACAACAGUAGAUCUGGUAUCAGUACUUUAUUCAGAAGAGCAUUUCUUCUUACAUGCACAGCUAAGAGUACAUGAAUUGAGCUACUGAAGCCCUUCCUGACCAACCUGGCUAAGGCUCCGUUCAGUUUGUCCUCUUCAUGGUUCUUUGGCAGGCAACAGCGUAAGCAAUUACCUGGACUAUGAGGCCUUUUGUAGCGGGGUGGGCACUGCCUAGGCAGUUUUUGAAAAAAUUAGGAGCUUUAUUUGUCAUUGACAUUUGUAGCACGAUUAGUUGUUACCUGGAUUAAGUUGUAUAUAUUACAUCGUAUACCUAAUCUGACAAAUAACAGGUUGCAAUCCAAGUUUUGUUGAUCAUGAAGGGUUUGAGCAUGAUAGUCCAUUUAGGUCAUUAGGUCUCCCUCGAAUUGCCACGUACACACUUCAAUCCUCUCAACGAGCGUCCCCGCAACGUCACACUCCACAAUAAUCUCAAAUAAUUUAGAACAAUUAUUUACUUCUGGCUGCUCUUAUCUCCCUUCUCACCAACCGAGUCACUGGUUGGUUACAUUUUACUAACACCGCCGAAUGAGAGAUCAUAAUCCCUAUUACGUGUCCACCCUAACUGACCACAACAUUGUCAUUUUUGAUCUAGCGUUAGUAACGCGUUGUUAAAUUGUCAUAGCUUCGAAACCGCUUUAUUUUUGGACUCAAGGCACAAAAAGGAUAAUAAACAAUUUUAAAAGAAAUUAAAGAAAGAAGUAAAAAGUAAUAAAAACUGGUAUUACAGGUAUUCUACUAUUCUUCUUCUCAUGAGCCGACUUUUUUCCCCAAAAAAUAAUAAAUAAAUAAAUAAAAUAAAGUAAAAAGGAAAGAAUAGUUAAUGCACUUCUCUACGUAAACGGUGUACAAUCAUUCUGGAGUCUGCAAGGGCCUUCAAGGGACCAAUUUAACGAGUUUCAAAUAACAAGUUUAUUUAUUUAUUUAUUUAUUUCUUUGGAUGAAAUAACAAUUUUAAUUAAAUAAUACAAAUAUAACUUAUGUACAUUUUUGCUUCUUGACCCUCUGUGUUGAAUGAGAACGAAACUGACAGAUAAGGACAGUAUGGCGUAUCUCUUGUUUAUUUCUUUGAAUUCCCCUCUCUUUAUUCUCUCUCAAUAGCCCUAUCUACAACCCUAUUCCUUUUUAUAAUCCUUUAUCACGCUACAUAUAUCGUAGCGUACUAUUAAAAUUUAACAGUGGGAUUACUUAGAAAUUUGAUAAGCACUCCGCUUCUCCCCCACCCCACCCAAAAAAAUAUUAUAGGUUAAGUGGAUGUAAAUUCUAAUGAUUAACAUGUUGGGAUUAUAUGCUCUUUUAAAGUAUAGUAAUUUAUUUUCUGAUUAAUAAAAUAUUUGAGAUAUUUUCAAUUGCAUAAAUAUAUAUUGAAUAAUGUCCGUUUAAUCAUAUUAUAUGUAUUUUUGUGAUUAUCAUAUAGAUUCACAGAAAACAUAAAUACAAGUUAUCUUAUUAUUAAAUAAAUUCAGUUCGCAGUUGAUAAAUAGAGUUGGACGCUCUAUUUAUGUUUAGACUGUAGUAAAUUUAUUGCAUGAUUUGUCUUAAUCAUAUAUGAAUUUAUUGAUGUAGUACGAUUACAUUGAACAUGAACACAUAUGAGAUUUAAUUAACCUUGAAAUGACUGUCAGACUUAUUAAAUCUCAUAGGCAUUGAUUUUACUGUAAUCUUAAUAUUGAGUUAAUUAUGAUUUCAUGAUUGUAAUUGUUAUUCCAUUUGAGUUACCAAUGGGCACAACACACAAUUGUGGUCAAGAUUACCUAGUAUCUUGGUGGGAGCAUUUAUGAGUAUUGGAGUUAUACAUUAACAAUAUAGAAUUUGUACAACACAUCCUUGAUGAGUUUUUGGCACUUGAUCAUAGAAUUCUCUGGCCAGAGUGUGUCAACAUAUUUAGUAUGUUGAAAAUGAUCAUUAGAGAAAACAAGUAAGCAUCAAGGAAUAAGAUGUAAUUAAAUUGAUUAGACAGUUGAGAUAUCGAUUUAAUUAAUGAUGUGGUACAAAGGAUUAUGCAGUAAAAAAAUUGAUGUGGCCUGCGACGAAUUAUUAUUCGAGCAUACAAUUAUGGAAGUUAGUUCCAAUCUUUUAAUGGAGUAUAUUUGGAAUUAAAUAAUUAGGCUAGUUUAAUUAUAGGCCUAAUUAUUAUAGCCACUAUUGUAUGUUCCCAAAUGAUUCCCGGGUUAGCUCAUUUAAUUGACUACGCCACUACUAGAUUAAUAAACAAGAUAACUAGUUAUUUGGGUUAAAAGCCUAAAUAUAUUAUUUAGUGGGAGGCUUCAAGUAAUGUACUUGUGUCUAAGGGGCAUUGUGUUAUUUUACAAAGUGGGCCCCUAUGACAAGAAAGAAGUAACGUUACUUUUAGUUUAUUAUUUUUAUUUAAAUCAAACUUGAUUUAAUAGAAUUAAAUAAUAUAAAAAAUGGAGUCUAGGGUUUCCACUAGAGAAAAAUAUAAAAGGGCUUAUUUUCUCCCAAAAGAAACAAGCAGCCACUUUAUACAGAUCAGAGAAAAAGAUUUUUCUCUCCGUUGUUGAGAGAAAAAUUUUCUCGUGCUAGUUACUUUGGUAGUGAUAAAGGCGUUCACACGUCAAAUGCAGAUCAAACCUGAGUCAUAACAUAGAAGAUCAUUGGUGACAGUUCGUGAUCUAACAAGUGUUGUGGUCACGGAUCGUGAUCUAACAAGCGUGGUGGUGACAGAUCGUGAUCUAGGAGCCUAAAUCACUUCAAUGGAAAAAGCCAAAUCGGAUUUUCAAUGUACGAUUUCUAGAUUACGUAUUCAUAUAUAUUGUAUGAAAUCAGUCCUAAAACAUUUUAUAAAAAUUUAAAAUAUAGAUUUUUCUCCAACAAUUGGUAUCAGAGCCAUCUUAUAUUAAUAUAUAAUAAUAUUGUAUGAAAUCAAUCUUGAUAUUUAUGUAUUAGAGUGGCACAACUUAUUCAGAUAUAUAUUAUUUAUUUAAUAUAUGAAUAAAAUAUGUUUUUGGUUUGUCUUAAUUCAUGAUUAGAUUCUUUACUGUUUUUUUUUUUUAUCUGUAACAAGAGGAGUGGUUUAUUAUCACCAUAUUUCCCUCUUAAUUUAGUUUAUUGUUAUAGAAAUUUUGUAAGCCUAAAUUGGUGUAGGAAAUUUGUAAGUCACUAGAGUAUAAUCAUGGAUGUCAGAUCAAAGCAACGAAUGCCGGAAAUUUCAGCGUCAGCCAGCGGUGCAUGAUGCACGCGCAGUGGCCAGCAGCACACGCUGCCAGCAGCUGCAGCGCGCGCAAGUUUAGUGCAUUUCCGACGACGCGGCAACGGGUGGCUCGGCGUCGGAGGUCGGCUGGUGUCUGAACAAUGGCAGAGGUUUUUGGAGAUGGCGGCUGGGGAGAAGGAAAAGAAAAAUAAGGAUUUUAGGGUUUCAUGGUUUCUAUCAUUGAGGUCCCUAUAGUUUAAUAAUUAUUUCUUUUGGGCAGUUAAGUUUUAAGCAUUUAAGUCUAAAAAUAGUUUUGGGCUUAAAGAAUCUUAGUUUUAGGCCCAAUUGAAAUUUGGGCUUAAUAGAUUAAAAUACAUAGAUAAAAUUGAACACAUUAAAUUUAUUUUUUGUCCAAAAAUUUUAUUUUAAUAAAAAAUUUAAUUAUUUAUUUAUUUCCUUCUAAAAAAUUAAAAUUGGACCAAUAAUAAAUUUAAAAGCUCAAUUUCCCCUAGUCCAUUAACAAAGAUAAGCCUAUGGAAGGUGGAUAUUGACAAAAAGCCCAAUGAAGAUUAAGCUUAUGGUUAAUGUAUUUUUUUAGGAAAGCCAUGAAUUAAGAUUAUUUAAUUGUAUUUCUAUAUGUUCUGUUUUGGAUGAUAAUAUGCCAUGAUAACAUGUCAUAUAGAAUAGGUAGUGUCACUCUAUGCAUAAUAUUACAUGUCAUUAAUUAAUUAUGAAUCUUAUUAUAUUGUUUGUAAUUUGCAAAUGCUUAAAUAAUAUUGGAUAUCAUAUAGAUAAUAUUAUAGGAAGCAUGAAACAAUAUGUAUGUUUUAAAAAAAGAAAAAACCAAUUUUAAAAUAUUGAGUGGGAGAGGGAAAAUUCAAAAUAAUUUUUCCCACGGGCUCCAUUGUUAGUUCAAUAAUAAAAUUAUAUAUAUACCUCGACUUCAUGAUACGGUGAUGCUCCUUAUGGAGGGUAUAUAUACUAGAUAUUUUAUUUGCUGAACUUUUUCAAAGAUAAAAUUGAAUAUUUUUCAAUCAAUUGUUCACUCCAACGGUGACUAUUGAUAUGAAAAAUACGUAGAUUGAAACAAUGGUUAUACCCUCAACUAAAAGUUGUUUUUAACCUUCCCAACAAAGCUCUGUUAACAACUUUAGGCCCAAAGGGAUAACGAUAAUUAUUUAUCAUGUCUUUACAUGAAAGUAAAUAAUUCAAUGGAUAAUUGGGUCUAGUAAGCAUAUAUUUGUUAUUUUGUUGUGAAUGGGACAUAUAUGGCACCAUUUGCUCCCGUGACCGAUCUUUAUAACAGAUCCAAUUACCCUCGUUAUAGUCACUAGAUAGAAAGCUAACAUAGCACAAUUAUAAUAUGUAAUGUAAGUGAUAGUAGAGUCACAAAUUAUUGUAUAAAUUUAUUUUAUAUAAAUUGAUGAUAAUAUAAAAUAAUAAAAAUAUAAAUCAUGUAGACCAAGAUGUAUUUAAUAUAACUAAUAAAAUUUUACUAGAUUAGUUUAUAUAAGAAUUUGUAAUUUUAUUAUUACUCAUGGUACUUGAACAGUGGCUGAUUGGUUAGCUAGUGGUAUAAGUGGCAACGACCAAAUUGUUGAGUCUCUGACGUGGGUUCUCAAAAUGAGUCAAGAGUCCAGAAAUUAGCUAUCAAGUUAUGACAAUAUUUGUAAACAUGUCUUUGAGAUGAUACAUUGUCAUCAUCAGCAUCAUAUCCUAAUUGAAAAAGAAGGAUUGCGAGGGAAACUAAGCAUGUGCCUUCAUUUUCACUUGAAAUAAAGCGCGAUGGAAAGAUCUCAUGUUAUCACAUAAUGCCGUGUGAUCACCUAAAAGCCCUUCCACACACAUUUCUUCUCAAAUUGUCUUAUUCUAAUUUCUUGGACCACCGCGGAACCACAAUGUCAAUGCGAGGAUGAGCGAGUGCUGUUCAGCUCGCAGCAUUUGGAGCCGGAGCUCGGCUUCCUUUAUUUUUUCGUCUUCUGCUGGUAGACAUUGCCAAAAGGCAAAGAGGAUCCUCUGGCGUUCGUGGAGUUGGUCCUCGAUGCGAUUGAUUUCUUCUCCAAGUUGAGCAAGCCUUUGUGCCAUAGCCAUAUAAUUAUUUGCUUUCGACCGACAUAAUUCUUCUCUAAAAAUUUCAGGGAGCACUUUUCAUCUACACCCAAAUAUUUCAUCAGAAUUUUGUUGUAUGCACACUUACUUCAACAACUAUCACGACUCACUCUUUUUGUUAAAUAUUGUUAUUGCCAUUAAUUUUGAUAUCUUUGACGUUAAAAGACAAUUUUGCCCUUAUUUAUAUUUUUUAAUGCAAAAUUACUAGAAAACCACAACACCAAUUUCAAAUUUCAAUUCACCUGUGUGGAUAUUAAAUUUAAUUUUGACAUCUUUGAUAUUAAAAGAUAAUUUUGCUCUUAUUUAUAAUUUGUUAAUACAAAAUUACCAGAAAACCCAACAUGAAUUUCGAAUUCCAAUUUACCUGUGUGGAUAUUAAAAUUUCGUAAAGGUUAGAAAAAAAGUAAAAAGUUUUUGUUAUGAAGAUCAAAAUAUCCCCUCUGCCAUCAUCCAUAAACGUCCAUUCUUCAUAACAAUCUAGUAAACUUGAAAAAGCAAGAAAUCCAAUCCCAGUCAAUCAAAAAGCCAAAAUUCUUCAUAAAGUUUAGCUUUUCUUGAAAAAUUUUAAUUCUUGAGACCCUAAAUUAACCGAUAUUCAACCCUAAAUUAACCGAUAUUCAAAGUCACAUGUUUCUAUAACGAAAAUCUUCAAAAAUAACACUCAAAUGAAAAUCUUCCAAGUAAAUAAAAAUCUAUAUUCAUAAUAUUUAUGAAUAAAUUGUAAAUAAUAUAAAAUGGUCUAAUUGAAUAUAGAGUGAUUUACAAUUUUAUAGUGCAUUCACUAAAUAGGAAUCAAAAUUAAUUGGAAACAUAAUGAGUUAGAAUCGAAAUAACUAGAAUCGAAAUAAGGAAUUAGAAUCAGAAUAAUUUAUUUACUUGAACUGCAUGAAUCGUAAUUAGAAUGAGCUAUUUAUAUGUUUAUUUUAUCUUAAAAUCAAAAUCGGAGUGAGUUAAAUUGUAUCAAAUUACUAUAAGACCCUUAAUUAUUUUUUAUCAUAAAAUAGUUAAUUAAUGUUUAUCAUAAUUAUUAAUUUUAAUUUUAAUUAUCUUGAUUAUUAUUAUUAUUAAAAAAUUAAUUAUUAUUGUUAAUUAUUAUUAUUAUUAACAAUUUAACUAAAAAAUUAUUAUUAAUUAUUGUUAAUAGAUUAAUUAAUUAUAAUACUUUUUAUCCUUGUUAUUAAUAAUAAUAAUAAUAAUAAUAAUAAUAAUAAUCCAUUUAAAAAUUAUAAUUAUAAUAAAAUCAUUAUUAUAAUUAUAAUCCAUUUAAUAAUAAUUAUAUUUUUAAUUAAAUGGAGGGUAUUUUAGAAAUUUAAAAAUUAUAGGGGCGAAUUGAUACUGUAAGGGUUUUAAUGCAAUAAAACAAAGUAUAAGGGGCUCAAUGAAAAUUUACAAUACAAAAAGUUUCACAAUAUUUAGGAAUAAAUUAUAAAUAAUAUAAAGUGUAAGGGCUACGUGAGCAGUAACUUAGGUGGCCCCUUUGCAAAUAACUAUUGUGAUUAGUGAGGCGCACCCAUCAAGUUCAUUGUAGCUGAAUGUAGAGGGCCUCGUGGAAGUUUAAGUUGUAGGGUCCCAAUCAAAAUGUGGCACUGACACAUUUAUCAAACAAUAUGAUUUUUUGAUAAGGACAUUAGUUUUGUAUUCAUAUCAAGCAGGUCCCUAACUUGUUGGGUUGGCAACGACACGGGAUUUGUCAAUCCCAGUCCCAUUCCGUAUAAAGUGCCGUAUAUGCAAAUGAGAUAAAAAAAAAAUCUUAUUCCUAUUCUUUUAUUUUCUUUUGCGACAAAAAUUUGUCAUGAUCUCGUCUCAUUAAAUAUCUUAUCCCAUCUCAUUAUCUUGAACAGUUUUAAAGGUAAAUAAAUAAAUAGACUUUUUUUUAAAGAUCAUCACAAUUCAAUAUAGCAAAAUUUUUUAAAUAAAUACAAAGUAAAAUAAUCAAAUAAUAGUUUUAUUUUGACUAAGUGCAUGUUCAAAUAUAAUUUUAUAUUAACAUUUUUAAUAGUCUAUUUGCUUCCAUUGCACAUUAAUAUUAAGACUUACACUUCAAAAACUAUAGAUUUAAAUAGUAAUCACUUCAACAAUGUUAAAAUAUCUAAUAAUUGAAUAAUAUAAUAAUAAACAAAACCAACAAGGUUGGUAAUGGAAUGGGAUGAGACGAGAUUUGUCCAUUCCAGUCUUAUUCCGUUUAUACAAGUGAGAUAAAAAAAAAUCUUUCAUUCCUAUCCUUUUAUUUUUUUGGGAUAAAAAUAUAUCUUAACUCUAUCCCAAAUGAAAUAGGAAAAAUUACCAUCCCUACUAACUUGGUGUAAUGACUAAAAGUUGAUUGAAAAAUAUAUAGUUUAAUUUUACAUUUAAUUUUUUUCAUUUUUUUAUUAAGAAUUAAUUGAAAAAUUAUUUUAUUCCCUUAAUUUUACCAGAAUCCCAUUGACUUAACCCCUAGUCUCUUGAUUAAGGCUCCGUUUGGUGCAGCUUUUCAAGCAAAACUUAUUUAAGUAGAGCUUUUGAUAAUAGAGCUUUAAGAAUUUAGUUGUUUGGUUGUCAAUAAGAACUUUUAUUAAAAAUCUAUGAAAUUGCUUUAAUAGAUAAGUUUUCUUAAGUUAUGUUAUGAAAAGAAUAAAAUAAGAUUGUUAAAUAAGUAAAGGAUAUUUUAGAUAUUUUAACAUUUAAAAAAAGUUUUUCAACCUCUACUCCCAAAAGCUCAAACUUUGAGUUUUUGUCAAUAGAGACGAACUAGCUUAUUUAAGCUCUAAAAGCUCUACAAAAAAAAAAAAAAAAAAAAAAAAACAACCAAGCAACAACAAAAAUUAUGAUAAGAGCUUAUGAGAUUAAAUAAAUACGUAUGACCAUUAGACAAGCCAUAUCAAAUAGGCAGUAAAGCGUUUUUAAGUUCAAAAGAUUCAGAUAACUCACUCGAUUACAGGGCGUCUACACCUUAUGCUCGCAUUUGUUGUGAUGCCAGUAGAUGUUGUGACUGUGGUUGUCGUUGUCGAUUGUACUUGAAUUUUGCAGGAGAGCUUAAUAUCCUCCUUAGUAAUUAAGCGUUGCAUCAGUUAUUUUUAAAAAAAAUUAUAUUAGAGUUAUUAUUAAAAAAUUGUAUUAUAAAAUAAAAAUUAAUAAUAUGUAAUAAAUAUGAUUUUUAAAAAUUCAUUUUAUUAAAAUUAAUUAUUUUUAUUUUUAUUAAAUAAAUAUAAAAUUAAAUCAACUUAAUUAUUAAAUUAUAGUGAUUAGUAUUUAUUAAACACUUUAAUAUAGUAACUUUUAAAAUUAUAAUCGACUAACCUUAAUCCAAGAGCCUGAAAUGAUUGUGCAGUUCGGGAUUUUCAAUUUCCUUUCUUUUUGGAACUGGCUUGGGAUUGUCCAAACACGUUAUUGACUGCCUUUGACAGGGAGUAUGGGGACAAAUCAAUUUUGUUUCCUGCAAAACCCUUGAAAUAUUAGUCAACUUACGUAUACCACUUUUGGACCCAUUUUGUCAGCAAAAAGAAAGAGUGGAGCAUUUGUACUCUAAAUUUAACUUUAGACAGUCGCAUUUUAACAAAUUUUUAUAUUACUAAAUUAACCUUAAUAUAAUUUACUAUAAAAGACAAUUUAGUAAUAUAAUAACUUUUAAAAUUAUUAAAUAAAUAUAAAAUUAAAUCAACUUAAUUAUUAAAUUAUAGUGAUUAGUAUUUAUUAAACACUUUAAUAUAGUAACUUUUAAAAUUAUAAUCGACUAACCUUAAUCCAAGAGCCUGAAAUGAUUGUGCAGUUCGGGAUUUUCAAUUUCCUUUCUUUUUGGAACUGGCUUGGGAUUGUCCAAACACGUUAUUGACUGCCUUUGACAGGGAGUAUGGGGACAAAUCAAUUUUGUUUCCUGCAAAACCCUUGAAAUAUUAGUCAACUUACGUAUACCACUUUUGGACCCAUUUUGUCAGCAAAAAGAAAGAGUGGAGCAUUUGUACUCUAAAUUUAACUUUAGACAGUCGCAUUUUAACAAAUUUUUAUAUUACUAAAUUAACCUUAAUAUAAUUUACUAUAAAAGACAAUUUAGUAAUAUAAUAACUUUUAAAAUUAUUAAAUAAAUAUAAAAUUAAAUCAACUUAAUUAUUAAAUUAUAGUGAUUAGUAUUUAUUAAACACUUUAAUAUAGUAACUUUUAAAAUUAUAAUCGACUAACCUUAAUCCAAGAGCCUGAAAUGAUUGUGCAGUUCGGGAUUUUCAAUUUCCUUUCUUUUUGGAACUGGCUUGGGAUUGUCCAAACACGUUAUUGACUGCCUUUGACAGGGAGUAUGGGGACAAAUCAAUUUUGUUUCCUGCAAAACCCUUGAAAUAUUAGUCAACUUACGUAUACCACUUUUGGACCCAUUUUGUCAGCAAAAAGAAAGAGUGGAGCAUUUGUACUCUAAAUUUAACUUUAGACAGUCGCAUUUUAACAAAUUUUUAUAUUACUAAAUUAACCUUAAUAUAAUUUACUAUAAAAGACAAUUUAAUAAAUUUUUAUCAUAUGAACUUUUAUCUACUAUAAACCACAUCAACAAUGAAAUAUUGAACCAAUGUUCACGUCGGAACUUUAUCUAUACUUAUAGACUAGAUUUUUUUUUUUUUUUGGUUAAUAGAAUGGCUAGAAAAACAUCAAGUUGCAUGUUCUAUCUCUUAUAACUGAAACAAAAGGAAUUACAAGCGGAGGUGCAGAACGAACAAUAAGUCUAUAAAUAUGAAAUAAAAUCGACAUAACUUCUAACAACUGCUAACUAUAAUCUUGAGCAAGACCUUAAUUUCCUCUCAGUUUUACAAUUAUUUGCUUUUGAGUGAGCUCUGAUUAUAAAUUUAUCCAUACAUGAAGUUACACUAGAUACGAAAUUACGUGGGCAUAAUUAUUCUUAGAGAAUUAUUUUUUCCUUUAGGAAUUCGUGCAAAUUAUCACUUUCUUUUUCCACUUUCCUUGAGAUAUUAUAUUUGACCUUUUUUAAAUAGUGCUCAUUUGUUUACGGAGUUUUUUUUUUAAUAACCAUUUCUAACCGUUUCAAACAAUUUGGUUCUAAAUAUAAAAUUUAGACCAUCUAUAAAUGCAGCCCUCUCACAUAAAUAGUAUCCAGUCCUAAGUCCACAGCCAGGUUUGUGAGAGAGCUCUCUACAUUAUAGAUGCUGUAAGGCAGUAGGGGUGUAAAAAAAACCCGCUCGGACCGGACCUGGCCCGGACCCGGCCAAUUCGGUCCGGGCAAAACCCGGACCACAUGCACUGAAAAUGCGGGUUCGGGUUUAAGAUUCCAAACCCUACCAUUUUCGAGCACGGGUUCGGGUUCAACACCAAAAAUCUGGAACCCGGAACCGGACCCGGUUUCUAAAUUAAAAAAAUAUAUAUAUAAAAACAAAAAUGUCAAAACCCAAAUCCCUAAUUGGCUAAUUCCCGAUUGAAAGAGGCAUAAGCAGCAAGCCAACAACGUUGUCACCGGCAUCAUCUCUUCUCGUCACCGUCGGCAUUCGGCAUUAACCACCACCCACUGUCACCGUCGCUCGUCGGCAUCAUCUCUUCUCGUUUGCUGACUCGGCUUGGCACGCGGCUUUACUCGGUUGCUCCAUCUCCAGUGGCAGUGUGGCUGUGACUCAGUGACAGUGAGUCGUUCGUGCAGGUGAGGCCUGCUUCUGGGAUAUUUUUCUGGAAUUUGGCCUCUUCGAGUUGCUUGUCCUGCUUCCUGACAUGUUCGGCAGCUGCGAUUGCAGAUUCCUUGGAGUCCUUAACAACUUUGAGCUUGGUGGUCAACUCGAGCAUGGUUCUUUUAGCCCUCUCAAGAUCGCCAAGUGCUCGAGCUCUUGUGCUUUCAGAGCUCUCUAACAGUUUCUUAGUUCUUUCGAUUUCUUUCCGGGCCAAGAGAAGCUGCGUCGUCAGCGCCAUCGUCUCCAACUCUCCAUUGCCACUUUCUCAACCACCAUCUCCAACUCUGCUUCUCAGCUUCUGCAAGAGAGAAUUGCAUGCCAUAUUGCCAUUAUUAUUAAGUUACUAUAUGCGGGUUUCUAAGCCCGGACCAAAAACCCGGACCCAGGUGGUGCCGGGUUUGCGCCUGGCCCGCACCCGGAAAAUCGGGUUUUAACCCGGGUCCGGAUUUUUUGUCCACUCAUCCGGUCCGGUCCCGGGCAACACCAAAACCCGGAUCGAACCCGGAUUUUGCCAAGCCUAUAAGGCAGCCCUCGCCAAACCUAAAUAUAAGAUUGAAUCAAACUCUUUUCGAAUUCGAAUUUCUUUCAAGCUCAAAUACGUCGCUUGGCUUUUCUUAUAUUUUAAGGUACAAUUGGGUUUGAUUUCUAUCCACUCUUAAGGUGCAGUAAAUCUCAACAUUCCAAAUAUAACCCUUUUGACACAAUUCACUUUCUAUUUGGGAAUGGCAAAAAACCCCAUGAGAUGGGGUUGGGGAUUUUUCCCAUUUAAGAAGGGAAAAAUAACAAUUUUAUGUUUAGGGUCUGAUAGGAAUGAUUUUUUGCCCAAUUUUUUUUGGGGAAGGUACAAAGAUGAGCUUGAAUCCUGAUUCUCUUCCCAAUUCGCCAUUUUCUCAAUUUAAUUUUUAAUUCUAAUUUUAUUUUUUAAAAAUAGUAAUGAAUCAAUAAUAAAAUCUAAAUUAUAAAAUAUUAAAUAUUAGUAUAAAUAACAAAUAUCAAUAUAUUUAUACAAAUAUAUUUUGAAAUUUUUGGGCCCAACUAAAUAGAAAUUCUAUUUUAACAUUCAUACAUUUUCAAAAUUAUUAAACUAAAAGAAUCCAGAAUCAAUUUUUCCUUGUGAACUUCUAUUAAAAUUUCACUGCGGUUUAAAAAAAAAUUAAAAAUUAAAAAUCCAUCCCAAAACCGAUUGCUACAAUACUGAGCCGCAAAAGUCAACGCCCGACACCCCACAUUUCAAUUUCAAAUCCAAACUUAAAUCCACCAACAGACACUACGCAAAACAAAUCUACUUGAAAUGAACAGCAAGUCUAAAUCGAAAUCGAAAUGAAAACCUUUAUGAGAGAGAAGUAAGAAGGCUUCGUUGUAUAAAGAGAAUAGCGAUUGAAGACAGUGUCUUCACGAUCGUCGUACGUAAAGCAUACGGAGAUCGGAGACUGUGUACUAACGAUCGAGGGCUGUGUCAAGACUGUCUUCACGAUCGUCGUAUGUGAAGCAUACGGAGAUCGGAGACUGUCUUAACGAUCGACGACAAACUGUCUUCACGAUCGUCCUAUGUUAAGCAUACGGAGAUCGGAGACUGUGUCUUAACGAUCGAGGGCAAACUAUCUUCACGCUCGUCGUAUGUGAAGCAUACGGAGAUCGGAGACUGUGUCUUAACGAUCGAGGGCAAACUGUGUUCACGAUCGUCGUAUGUGAAGUAUACGGAGAUCGUAGACUGUGUCUUAACGAUCGAGGGCUGUGUCGAAACUGUCUUUACGAUCGUCCCAUGUGAAGUAUACGGAGAUCGGAGACUGUGUCUUAACGAUCGAGGGCAAACUGUCUUCACGCUCGUUGUAUGUGAAGCAUACGGAGGUCGGAGACUGUGUCUUAACGAUCGAGGGCAAACUAUCUUCAAGAUCGUCGUAUGUGAAGCAUACGGAGAUCGGAGACUGUGUCUUAACGAUCGAGGGCUGUGUCGAAACUGUCUUCACGAUCGUGGUAUAGAGUGAAUAGAGAGAGAGGGGGCUGUGUUAAACAGAAAGAUUGAAUGCUGUGCCGUGUAGAGAGAUCGAGAAGAAGAGAGAAGAUGGCGGCGCCUGUAGCAGAGCACGGGCUCAUAUUUAUAGGAGAGGGAUUACGGCAACUUAACGGCCGUUAUGACCGCAAAUUGCCUCUGUUAGAAUUAACCGAGAAGUCACGGGAUUACCUGCUGAUCAUCAGCAUCUGGGAAUCUUAUGAGUUUGAACAUCAAACAUGCAUGCUAAACUAUCCACUAAUAUAUAUAUAUAUAAACCGAAAGCUCAGUCAUUUAAACGAUAGCAUUCAGCGAUGAACAACAAUAACUUAAACAUGGAUGUAACUCAAAAUUUAUCUUCACCUGACAGCCAGACAUACGUAUGGUAAAUCGUAGUGGUAGAAGGUUAACAUAUGAGGCAAGUUCAAAGAACAUUUCUCUUUUAUACCAAAAAAAGAAAUAGCUGAACCGGAAGGGACUCACAGUUGAUUAGAGAAUGAGUAUAUCAAUCUAUCUGUGACAAUUUAAUUUAGGUAUACCAUAUGAUUCCAACCUUUAUUACACUAAAAGAUGGUCAUCCCAUCAUUAAUAGAAAAGAAAAAUAAAAUAAAACGGCAAAGUAAUUAAGAAAGAAGUAGAAUUUCAGCUCAACCUUAGGUCAGAAUAGUGUGAGCAUUCUAGAUUUGAUUCAUCUCGUCAUAACCUUCGAACAAGGUAUUAUACACUAGAAACAGACACAUGCGUCCCAAAUUAUGAUAUCCAAAAAUUAUCCUACUCAUGAUUAUCUUAGGUAACUAUCCUACAUUGCAAAUGAAUGUAAUAGCUACGUUUCAAAUUAAAUUCAAAACCAUAAAUUCAAGAGUUAAGUGUUUCUGAAUCAAAAUACCCUCUACGAAUUUUAUAAAUUGGCUUCUAAUUUCAUUAGCAAAAUACACAAAAUCCAAGUGAAUUUCCUCUUCUCUCCCAAACAGUUUUAACAUUUGGCGAUAGAGCUGACGACAAGCAUGAGUAAACAAUGUACAAUAGUGAUACGCAACAAUGAUCAAAGAAAAACAAAUCCUUGAAGUGUAACACCAUGAAAUGAAAAAAUAGGGCGUGGAACAAAUAUUUCUAAUAAUCUUGUUCAUCUUAACCAUAUUUUUUUCAGUGAAAAAUAUUAAUGGCAUCUUAUGUUAUAUUGUUUCAGUAAGAGAAAGAAGAAAAAAGAAAACAAAUCUCUUUCAUAGGGGCUUGACCAAUUUUUUCACGAAAAAUUGACGGCCGUUAUGAGUUCUGUAAAUGCCUCUGUUAGAUUUGAUGGAAAAGUCACGGGGUUACGCGAUGAUCAUCAGCGUCUGAAAAUGUUAUGAGUUUAAUUAGCCAAGAAGAAUUAACCUCCGCUUCAGAUCGAACGACUCCCAAGUAACUACAAACAUAUCACCUUUAUCCUUUUGGUUCCAUCUGCCCACGAAGCUUCAUAUACCUACAAAAUGUUUCUUAAAAUUUUAAGGAAAAAGGAUAAAUACACCCCCAACGUUUAGAUAAAAGGACAAAAGUCCCCCUAACGUUUUAAAAAAUACAUUUACAUCCUCAUUCUCUAACGGAAACAGUAACUUUUAACAGAAAUUAUUGUUAUACCCUUCUAGCAUAUAAAAAAUAUAUAUACAAGUUUAACUUGUGGUAUUAUACCAUAAAAUUUUAUUUAAAUUUUAAACUUGUAUAUUUAACAAUUCUCCACAUGUUAUCAUUUAAACUUGUAUAUUUAUAACUAAUUUUUUAUGUUAUUUAUUAUGGUAUUAAUUGAAAUACAAGUUAACAUUAAUAACCAAUUUUAUUUAUUUUUAUUCUUGAGUAAUGAAUUAAAUUUAUUUGGCUUGAAGAGGGAAUUUGAUAAAAAUUUAAAUAGAGGAAUUGGGUAAUGAGGAUAUAUUUAUAAUUUUAUUAAUAAUAUAUGGACAAAUUGGAUAAUCAACAAUUUUUUUUUAUAUGCUAGAAGGGUAUAACGGUAAUUUCUAUUAAAAGUUAAUGUUUCUAUUAGUGAAUAAGGAUGUAAAUGUCUUUUUUAAAACGUUAGGGGGUUUUUGUCAUUUUGUCUAAAUGUUGGGGGUGUGUUUGUCCUUUUUCCUUUUUUUAAUAAAUUAUAAUCGGACAGCUGGAUCAAAAUUUUCGACUGGGCAAAACGCAAAAUCUACCACGAGUGCUUCAACAACUUCGUUUCAUUUAAAUAUUUAUCAUUUAAUCAGAGUUUGACGAGCAGCGUCGAUGGAAAAUUGAUAGAAAUGAUCCUUACUUUUUUUUUUAUUAUACGAAUAGCAAAUAAAAUUUUCCUUUUUUCAGUUACACAGGUAGGAAAUAAAUUUAUAAAGUCUAGUAUCUACUGUUCGUAAUAUAUAGCAAAUGAAAAUUUUCCAUUUUUCAAUUACACGAACACAUGUAACUGUUUUGUAUAUACCUUUUUCUAGCGGCUUCAAAAAGUUUCAACCUUAUGGAAUGGCACAAUCUUUGUACAUUAUUAUUUUAAUUAAUAACAAGAUUACUGAUCCUGUGCGCCCGGUAAACACUGCUGUGAUUGAGGAAAUGGCGGUUGCUAUUGCUGACUCUUAUCAAAGGCCUUGAUAAAUCGACCAUUUCUUCACAUCUAACUGAGGCAUAAAAGGUAAAAAGCCUAGGUGUAGGAGAGAAAGCUACAACAUAUAUGACACAAAAUCAAUUUGGAUAGGCCUUGCUGAUCAUGUCUGUGAAUGAAGAAGAUUCACCUUGAUGCCAUAGCGUAGCAAAUUAUUAGGAGGCAGGAUGUAUAUGUCGCAUAGUUAAAGGGGGAUUCUAAAUCCUGAAGGGUACAAAGACUUAUGCUUUGAAGCUCAUCUCCCUAUCUAAAACAAGCGAGUUAAGUUCUAUUUGGAAUUGAGAUUGAGAAACUAUAACUUAAAAACUACUGCAUUAAAAUAUUAGGUAAACACUAACUGCUAUAGUUUGGAAAUUAAAUUAAUUUGAUUUUACACUUGUAUAAUGAAAAAUCUAUUAUAUCUUUACUAAUUUUGUCAAAAUUAUUAUUUAAAAGUUAUAGUUGCUACAUAUUGUUAACUUUUAUUUCUUCGUUAUAAUUUUUUUUUUUUUACAGUAGUUGUAACUUAAAAGCCGCUGCACUUUAAUACCAAAUAAGACCGUUGUUAACCAUUUUGAUAGAGUUUGACCAUCUAAUUGACUAAUUCCCCAAAAAAAAAAAAAAGGUAUGGUGGUUACCCGAAUUUUACGUCCACUUAACAUAUAAUUUUUUAGGGGAAGAAAGGGCGGGGUGCUAAUCAAAUUUUUGGAAAAAAAGAAAAAAGAAAAAGCACAAUACUUGUCAAAUCUCUAAAUAACCCUAUUGUUAAACUUUAAUAAUACACUACAAUAAAUGUAAUGUAAAUUAAGUAAUAAAAGAUUAUAGAAAGAUCAAAGAAAUAGGGUUGUAAAUGGGAUUAUUGUGAAAGAAUAAAGAGAGGAAUUCAAGCAAUAAAUAAGAGACACGCCAUACAGCCCAUGCUGUCCUUAUCGGUGUCAAGUUCAUUCUCAUUCAACACAGAGGGUAAACAAGCAAAAAUGUAUAUAAAACACAUGCAUAUUAUUAUUACUAUUAUUAUUUGAGAAGCACAUGCAUAUUAUUUAAUUAAACGUGUUAUUUGGAACUUGUUAAAUUGUUACCUUUGUAGGUCCUUGUGGACUCCAAAUUAAUUGUACGCCUUUUCAACAGAAAAAAGUGCAUUACAUAAUUUUUUCUUUUUUUACUUUAUUUUUGGAAUUUUUUGGAAAAAGCGAUGACUCAUGAGAAGAAGAAGAAUAGUAGAACACGUGGAACAGUCCAAAAAUAUUGUGUAUAAAUAAAUAACGCGGCUUCUGAGUUUUUGACAAUUUACCAUACGUUAAUAACGCUUGAUGAAAAUGUUGCAAUCAGGUAGUGUAGAAUCACUAAUAAAUGAAAUAUGCAAUAAGAAGAGUAAAUAUUAAUAACGCACCAAUAUUACAAAUCAAUAGCUAAGGAUCAAGUGAAAUUUCACCUGCAAAUUAGGACAGCCGAGGAAGCAUCCAUAAACAUAAGAGUAAUUAUACCACUCUGAAAUUUCAUAAGAGAGAAUUAGGACAGCAGAGAAAGAAAUACACAAAGCAAUUUGCAAAGGACAGAGGCAUAAACAUAAUAGUAAUUAUAAAAUUUCAGACUGUAAGAAAAAAGUAAAAAAUGUAUAAUAUUUUUCACAUUAGUCCGACGGUUCGUCAAUGUCUUUGUAAAAAGCAAAUAUUUUCAAAGGUAAAUAACACUCUCCCAAAUGUUUAAUCAAUAAUACAAUUUUUUUUUGAAGAGAUAACUACUGAUUAUAUAUUGAUUCUUCAAAAUAAUUACACAUUUAUCAUAAUAUUAUUUAUUUAUUUUAUAAUUGAUAUAGUACUUUAAAGAUAUUUGAAAAAUUUUUAACUUGACAAUGCUCCUUAAUCAAGGGUGAAGUUUAAAUUAUGUCACAAAAAGUGCUUGAACAAUAUUGAGCAAAGCGUUUACUUGUAUAACUCGAACUGGGGAGCAAACCCUUAAGUGGCUUGACUGAGUUUGCUCCCCAGUUUAAGUCGCAGGGAAGUCGCUUUUGUUGGAAAAACUUGUGCCUCUCGAUUCGAGCGGAGACUUCUAUUCUUGGUUGUGGUACGGACUUAAAGGUGCCUCCCAUAGUUGGGACCCUCCCCAGGAUACCUCGUAGUCAAAAACCAAAAAGAAUGCAUAUGAGGGGAUAAGAAGACUGAAGGUAUGAGUUUGACUAUUAUCACAAUAAUUUCUAUUUCAUAGAUUGAAAUGUGAACAUUAGUGUAUUUUGUGGAAUUUUCUCCGUUACUUUAUAAAAUUACUACAUGUACAUGGAUGAUUGCUUGCUACUGUGAAAGGCGAAACAUUUAAUUUGGAGAAAAUUCCUUCUAGACUGGUAGCAUGGGUCAUAGUUGCCCUAUCGACGAAGUGUUAUUAGCUAAAACCUAUUGCACAUGUCAAUGCAAAAUGGCUUCAAGGUUUCGCUGUAGAACUGAUGACAAGCUUCUGAAAACAACGUGCCAUAUUGAAACACAACAACAAUAAUGGCAGCACCAAUCCAUGCAGUGUAAAAAAUGAAAUGGCCAAUAUUAGAACACGGAAGUAGAUCCAGAGACAACAGCAAGGCCCCAGAACUGGAAAGAAUUUUCUGGAUGAAGUCGAGACUUGAGGUUAGCUGAAUGUGCAUAACAAUACGUGGUUAUGGCUAUAAAAAAAGACCAUAUAUUUAUGGGCUUAGUUUUGCUUUGCACAUUGGCACCCACAAUGCCGAUGAGAGCCGGAAUCAGAUAUUCAAAAAUGUUGGGAUAUGACAUCGACUAGAGGAGAUUUCGCCCACUGCAAAAUCAUUUAAAAUGAUAAAAUCAUCUUCUGCAUAUCCCAUUUUCUUUUAAAAAAAAAUUAAAAUUAAAUAGAUCUUGUAUUAAUUCCUCUCAAUUUGUUUGUCAAUUAUUUGUUUUUGACCGACACAAUUCUUCUCUAAAAAUUUGAGGGAGCACUUUUUAUUUGCACCCAAAUGUUUCAUCAAAAUUUUAUUGUAUACACACUUGUUUCAACAGCUAUCAUAGCUCACCCUUUUCUGUUAAAUAUUGUUUUUACCAAUAAUUUUGAUAUCUUGACGUUAAAAGACAAUUGUACCGUUAGUUGAAAUUUUUAAGUAUAAAAUCACCAAAAAAACCACAACACUAGUUUCAAAUUCCAAUUGACCUGUGUGGAUAUUAAAAUUUCUUAAAGGUUAAGAAAAAAAAGGUAAAAAUGCUUUCUUAUGGGAAUCAAAAUAUCCCCUAUACCAUCAUCCAUAACCGUCUAUUCAUGAUAACAAUUUAAUAAACUUGAAAAGCAAAAAAUCCAAUCCCAGUCAAUCAAUACAGCCAAUUUUCUUCAUAAAGUUUAGCUUUUACUUUAAAAAAUGCUAACUCUUGAGACACUAAAUAAAUAUUUAAAGUUACGUGUUUCUAUAACGAAAAUCUUCAAUUUACCCCUUUAAAAGUUUGAAAACAUUAAUUUACUUCUAUUUUCCAGUCAAAAAAUUAGAAUAAAUGGAGACAAGCUGAUGACAAACUUUUUAACUUCUUAGUGGUAUUUGAUAAAUAUAAAUAAAUUGAAAAUUAUCAUUGUAAGUAGGAAUAAGUUAAAACUUUUACUCCAUAUUUAUUGUGCUUUAAGAAGAGAAAGAAAGAAAACAGAAAACAAACCUCUUUUAUAGGAGGGUUAACAAAAUUUUCAGCAAGGACUUAACCAACUUUUUUCGCGGAAAUUAAAUUAGCAGAACAAAAAUAACAUACGACUUGAGUCAAUAAUGGUAAAGAAAAUGAACGUACACAGAAAAUGAACGUACACAUAAGGGUUUGGAUUUGGUUGAUGAAGAAUGCACUGAAAGCUUUGCAUUUGCUUAUAUAUCACAGCAAACACUGGAUUGAGUUCUCUUUUCCAGGGUAAAUAAGGUAGGGAACAGCAAAGCCGAUCAAUUUGAUAAAAAAAAAAAAGGGAGGGAAGGGGGGGGGAGAGAACUGCCACAGUAAGAACAUCUCAAUCAUCUCUGCUAAAAAAAGUUAUCUCGUGGCUGGGGCAUUUAUAUUUUCAUGUGCGCUGAUGCCGGGAGUUGAAACUGAGGCGGCGAGUCCUCGAGGCCUCUGCUGCAAGAGAGGACUCUGUUAAUUUCGCAAAAAUCUGACUUGGCAAAAUCCACUCAUACAUCAUUUGUCCCUUUGUUGUGAUGUUGAUGCAGUUUCUUUAUUUUUAUUUUUGCUUUUUGUUUUGAGCUCCCAGACAAAAGAGUGUUGAAAAUGAUCGAUUAAUCGGUUCCCCAUUCAAUUUCAAGGUCGAAAGGGAUGACAAGAUGUAUAUUUAGUAUGGUUUAUUUAAUAAUUAUAAAUAUUUGUUUAAUUUUAUGAUCUCUUAUUAAAAUUUUUGUUAUUAUUUAGUUAUUUUUUACAAAAUUUUUAAAGAUUAAAUAAGAUAUUUUAUUUCUAUUAAAAAAAUUUAAAUUUUAAGAUUUUAGAUGUAGAGAUUGAAUUUUUUUUUACAUGGUAAAAUAUUUAAAAUAUUAUUUAUUUAUUUGACAAUCUUAUUUUAUUUUUUUAUAACAUAAAUUUUAAAAAAUAAUUUAUAAAAAUAAUUUCAUAAUUUUUAAUAAAUAAAUUAAUUGAUAAUUAAAUAAAUAAAUUUUUUUUAGUAAAAAUUUUAUUUAUAAGAAUCUUAUUAAUAAAAAAUUUAUUUAAAAAAAUCCUAUUUGAAAAGAUAUUCGGAUCGAAUUUAACAUCCACAUCAUACCGGUACGAGACGUAAGAGGGUUGAAAAUAACGUUAUACACUCGUCAAGGCGCACCAAUCAAGUUCGAGGGGGACAGCGCCCAAUAGCUGAACUUAAAGGGCCCCGUGGGGAACUUAGGUGGUACAGCCCCAAUCAAAAUGCGACAAAUUUAUCAAACAACAUGAUUUUUCCAACGAGGAUAUUAGUUUUGUGUUUGUCACAAAUAGGUCCCUAACUUGGUGUAAUGACUAAGAAUUAACUGAAACAAAAUAUCUUAAUUCUGUAUUUAAUUUUUAUUAAGAAUUAAUUGAAAAUUUAUGAUAUUUUCUUAAUUUUUGCCACAAUUUUUUAAUUAAUUAUAAUUUAAAAAUUUAUUAUAUUAAAUACAUAAUUAAAAGUAUUCAUAUUCCCAACAUCAAACAAUCACUAAGGGUAAAAUGGUAAGAUUAGUAAAAAAAAUUGAUACUCAAAGGGGUUUGGAUGUGUUUUUAAAAUACCAAGGGAGUUUCGGUUAGUUUUGUCAAACAAUAAGGGAGUUUUGCUCUUUUUGUUUCUUUUGUUUUUGUUGUUCAUAGUCGAUAAUGGAUUUGAAAUAGAAAAUAAUUAUAAUUUAUUUUUUCAUUCACUCUCUAAUUAAUUCAAUGGUGCUUAGCAACUUUUGUUUCAGUUUAUGAGCAAUUGGGUGAUAUUUUAUGCCAUGUUCUCUAUCGAGAUGAUGUAACUUAAAAGUUAGGAAAAAAAAGUUGUAAUUAUAAUAUUAAAUUAAUAGUUUGUAAUAAAUAUGACUUUUAAUUAAUAAUUUUGACAAAGAAGUAAUAGACUCUGACAGUAGCGGACCUACAACUGGGCAAGGCCGGGCGUUAGCCCAGUCUAGUUCCAAAAAAAAUCAUUUAUAUCGCUUAUGCUUUAAUUAAUUUUAUAUAUAAGUAUAGAUUUUUUAUUUUGUUUUCAUAUAUAUUCCUAAUUUAGUUAGCCUUAUAUUUUCAUCAAUUUCAUAUAAUAAUAGAGUUUUUAUUUUAUUUUCAAAUAUGUCCCUCAUUCAAUUAUAUAUAUUUUUUCAAUUGAAAUUAGUUACUUAUUUUAUAAAAUGAUUAAAUCAUAUGUUUAUUGAAUAGAUAGAAAACAGUAAGGGUCUAAAAUAUUAUUGGUGCUUAAAUUUAUUUUCAAAAAUUCUAAUUGAAAAAAAAAGUAUGUCAACGUAGUAAAACAUUGUCACUAGUAUUAAAAGUACUUAAAAAACAUAUAGUAACAACUAUCAACAUUUUCAUAAACUUUUUAUGUGAAUUUUGAGAUUUUAUUUAUUAUUUACAUUAUCUAAGAGGACAAGUUAGAAAAUAAAAUUUGAGUAUUUUUAGGAGUUUUUGAUAGAAAAAUCAUCAGCAUUUGGUUUUUUAGAGAGAGUCAGAGUGCUUGGCAAAGAAAUAACGACACCUAAAUACCUUUUUGCCGCUAGAUUGAGUUUAGUUUAUUAUUGAAACUUUUGACUAAUAAUAUUUUUAUAAUUUAAAAAGAUGAAUAAAUUUUAAUUUUUUAAAUUUAUUUAAGCCUAGUAAUUAAGUAUUUUUCAAAUAUAAAAGGUCUACUUAAAUUUUUUAAUUAAUUGCAAUUAUAGGUAUUGAUGAAUUUUAUCUUGAAAUUCUUAAUUGAUUUAUGUAAUUGCAUGUUAUUAUAGGUUCCACUGUUAGAUUCCAUAAACAAAAAGUAGUGCUUUAUACUAGAAUUGUCUUUUAAUUCUACCAUUUUUCUAUAAUUAUUUUUGUUUAGAGUACUGUGUUUAUAGGGUUUUUCGUUUCCCCUUUAUUUGAUGCACUUCUUUCUACCUAUGAAUAUUUAUGUCACUUCAAAAUAUAAAAUUUUUAAUUUAACCCGGAAUAACAUAAAGUCUUGGGUCCUCCCCUGGACCAUGAGCUGAAUGUGCAUAAUAAUAUACGGCUGUGGCUAUUAAAAAAAAAAAAAACCAUAUAUCUGAUGAGUGUGUUUCAAGCAAGGGCGCAGUUUGACUUGCAUAUUUGCACCAUCAAUGCCAAUUGGAGCCAAAAUGAGAUAUCCAAAUAUGUUGGAAUAUGACAUCGAGCAAAAGAGUUUUGGCCCACUGCAAAAUCAUUAAAAUGAUUAAUCUUCUUUUGUAAAUCUCAUUCACUUGGAAAAAUUUAAAUCAUUUGCUUUUGAUUGAGUUUUGUCCAUUAAUUUGAAAUUUUUGGCAAUUACUAGACUAAAAGAUAAUUUUGCCCCUCAUUUGAAUCUUUUAAGUGUUAAUAUCAUAAAACCAAUUGACUUGUGUGGAUAGAAAAUAAGAAAUAAAAGUUUUUCUAUUUUUUUCAGAAUAUCUCCAUCUACCUGACUCAAACUUGCGCCCGUCAAUUUAUAGGUGCACCCGUGCGGAUACGAAACCCGUUUGUUUUCUCAAAGGUUUAAAAAAAAAAAAAUUGAUUUGGGAUUACUUAGUCUUAUAUGAGUCGAUUACUCCAAUAACAGAUGAAUCCAAAAAUCUUCUCUACCUUUAUCUUGCUUUUUUAAAAAAUCUAAUUUUUGAGACCCCAAGGUGGCAUUUAUUUUUUAAUCUGAAAUAUAAAUAGUUCUGAAUUAGUCUAAAUUCUAAAUAAAAUUGAAUAUCUAAUUCUGAAUGAUUUAUUUUUUGUCUAAAUUGUUAAAAAUAAAUAUUAAUUUUUUUUGUAUUUUUAACUUAAAAAAUCUGAAAACUAAUAUUUUUACAUUUGUGCCUUUACGAAUUAUUAAUGUAAACAAAUAAUAAGCAUAUCAAAGAACUUAAAUAAAAUAAUAUAUUAUCAUGAGAUAAAUCAUGUUCAAUUGAAUACAACCCCUUAUAUCGUAAAUUAGUAUAUGUUAAUCAAUUUUAUUGUAGUUCAUGAUGUUUUAUAUGAAAAUAUUCAUAGGAAUAAUGAAGAUAAAUAAUGCUAAUUUGAAGAAAAUAAAAAAAUAAAAAUAAUAUUAGUCUACCACUAUGCUAUCACAAGUUAUAGAGAUUGGUAAUAAUGCUAAUUAUUAAAUUUUAUUUAAGUAAGGAUGAAAAUUAAUUAAUUAGAUAGGGAUAUUUUGGAGAAUAUCUUUUAAUGAUAUCAUUUAGAUUUUUAGAUAAAACAAAAAGUUGAAAAAAUUGGCUUAAUAACUUAAUGACUUAAUGACUAUAACUUUUAAUUAAGUUAAAGAAAACGGACUUAAUGACUUAUCUGAUUGAAAUUAAGUCAAUUAAAUCAUUAAGUCAAAAAGAAAAAAAAAAAAAAGAGCCCCUAAGUUAAGGUUGGUCAAAUGCUGCUAAAUAUAAUAACAAAAUAUUAUAAGAUACAUAUUUUCUUUUUAAUAAAUUGAAUAUAUGUAUAACCUUAAAACUAAUUCUUAGGGUUAUUUGGGAAUGUUGUAGCUUUUAAAAUAAUUAAUGUUAAUUGUGUUGUAGAAAUAAUCAGUUGUGAAGAGAAUCAGUUAAGUGUUUGAUAAAUUUUCUUUUCAGAAGUACUGUGAGUUUUAAAAGCAGUUAUGGAUGUUUGAUAAAUUUUACUAUUAAAUUGCUAUGAGAAAACAAACGACUAUAAUGUAUAUAAUGUAGAAUAAAAUUUAUUUAUACGUAUAAAAACAUGUACAUAUAAUAUUUUUAAUUGUGUAUUAUAAUAGUUUUUACUAAAAAUAAAAUUUAUAAUAUAUUGAUUUUAUUUUUAUCUUAAAACAAUUGAUAAUUAAAUUUAUAAUAUAGUGAAAUAAAUUUAAUAAUAAUUCGACUAACAAAUUGAUAUUAAUAAAUUGAUAUUGAUGAAUUAUAAUAAAAAUUUAUUAAAAUAUUAAUUCUGUUUCCAAUUUGAAUAAGGAUAAUUUUGGGUUUAGGUAAUAAUUUUAAGGAUAUUUAUGAAAUUGUAUUAAAGGAUUAAAUUGAUUCUCAAAAUCAGAAUCUAAAAGCUACUCAUUCCCUACUUUUCAAAAUCAGCUGUAAGAGGGACUGAUUUUGACAAAAGUGAUUUUAAUUUUCUGUUACACCAAACACUAAAAUUAGAUUUUAGAUUUUUAAAAUCACUUUUAAAUCCCCCAAAAGUAAAUCCAAACGGGCCCUUAAUGCUUUAUUGGAAAAAUAUGUAGUUUAUAUGUAGAUAAUAUAUAUUAUACUUAAUUGUUAGGGUUUGAAAAGGAUUGGGAAAAAAAAUGUAAAUUAAAAGGAUUGGGAAAAAAAAGUCAAUUAUGGAAGCCAUUUAUGUUUUGCAAUUGGCGAAGACAGAAAAUUUUUUUUGGGUGGGCUAAAAAUUUUUUCCAAGUCCAUAUGUGAUCUCAAUUAAAGAUAUAAAUCUUAAAAGGAAGUUUCAUUAAUACAUAAGAAAAUACAUCAUAUCUAAGAAGCAAUUAAAUUACAAUUAAACACUACUUAAGUUGUGCCUUACCAUACUUUCGGGAGUUAAACUCAUAUAUUAUCGAGUAUAGACAUCAUUACCUUUGUUAGUGAAUUUGUGAUUGAUUCUUUUAACUUCUUUUAUAGUUUUCUCUUGUUUCGAUUGCAACGAUUGAACGAGUAUAGACAUCAUUUCAAAAUCAUACUGUAUUGUUGUCCACAAAUUCUCUUUCAAUGUAGACAACAAUACAGUAUGAUUUUGAAAUGAUGUCUAUACUCGUUCAAUCGUUGCAAUCGAAACAAGAGAAAACUAUAAAAAGAAGUUAAAAGAAUCAAUCACAAAUUCACUAACAAAGGUAAUGCAACUGUCAGUCCAUCACUAUGACACAUUGAUAUUAUCCAGAAGUCAGGCAAUAAGUUUAAUUAACAAAUUAACAUUAUAUAAUAUACUGGAUCAAAUCUAUGAUCUACCUAUAUCAAUGAUCAAUUUAGCCAUUUAAAAAUUUGAAUGAUAGAAUUCAAUGGCUAAAUUAUCUUCAUUUGAUCUUACACAAUGAAAUUGGAACAACAAUUAAAGAGUAUGAUUUUUAGUCUUUAUUACCUUAUAAUUAAUAAAUAUAUUGUAAAUGAUUGAAUAAAAAUAAAUCUAUUAUCUAUUCUUACCAAGAAGAAGGCGAAGAAAAAAAAAAAUCGUGUUUGAAAUCUCGAAUGAAGUAAAUGCUCACUAUUUAAAUUUAUUUAUAUGAUGACAAAGUUGUAAAUUAAUAGAGUGGUACAAUUGUAAAUAAGAUAGUGGCAUAGUUUCAAUUUUGUAAAAUUUGGACAGGCUAUAGUCCAUCUCAGUCCACACGUAGCCUUGCCACUAGGGAUGGCAAUGGGGAGGGGAGGGGAGGGGACCAAUCUCCCCGUACCCAUCCCUGAUAUUUUGCGUAUGUCUCCGUCCCCUCCUCAUCCUUGUCAUAAUUGUUUGAGAGAAUCUUCAUCCCCUCUCCGAAUAAUAACAGGAGAUUCCCGAUGGUCCCCGAUCCCCGAAUAACUAAUACAUAUAUUUUUUUUGAGUUAAUUAUAUUAAAAUAAAAAAUUCAAACAAAAGUAAAGUUCGAAAUAUAUUUUACAUUAACAUUGAUCCAUUAUAAAAGUCACAUGCAAAAUACAAAUUAUCAAAAUAAUUAUCUUUGUCAAUCUUCAUAAUCCUACAAUAAAAAGAAAAAGAAUUUACUUUUAUAUCGACAAUAAAAUAAAUGAAAUAAAUGUAGAUACUUAAUUAAUAUUUUUAAUAAAACAAAAUUAAAAUUAAAACAAAAUUUUUGGGCUAAUAAAAUCUACCCGGCCUUUUUAAUGUCCUAAAUAAAAAUUUAAGACUUUAAUUAGUUAAUUAAGCCUAAAAGUUUAAUAAUAUGAAUAUUUUAAUAUUUGUUACUUUUACCAAUAUUUAUAAUUUUAUAAUAUAAUUCAAAUAUUAGUAUUUAUUUACUAGUAAUUUUAAAAAAUAAAAUUAAAAUUAAAAAUUAAAAAUUAAAAUAGGAAAAUAGGGAGGGGAUGGGGAUUCCACAUCAUCCCCGCCCCUUCCCUGAAUAAGAAACUGGGUAAGAAAAUUUCCUCAUCUCUUCCCUGAAUAAGAAAUUGGGUAUAGAAUUAUCUCCGUACUCUCCCCGAAUGGGAAAAAUCCCCGAGGGUACCCGUCUCCGUGGGGAUUUUUGCCAUCCCUACUUGCCACCGGUAUAAACAUGGAGAAUAGUUUAUAAAUCCACUAAGCUUAAUUAAAGUAAAAUACUUGACAUUAGGAAAUUUCCAAUAAUCUUGUUCAUCUUAACCAAAUUCUUAAAGUGAAAAGGAUUAAUGGUACCUUGUGUUAUUUUGCUUUAGUAAGAGAAAGAAGAAAAAAGAAAACAAAUCUCUUUCAUAGGGGCUUGACCAAUUUUUUGUUUCACGCAAAAAUUGACGGCCGUUAUGACCGUAAAUGCCUCUGUUAGACUUGACGGAGAAGUCUGGGGGUUUACGCGAUGGUCAUCAGCGCCUGGAAAUUUUAUGAGUUCAAUUAGUCAAAAAGGAUUGAUCUUCGCCUCAGAUGGAACGACUCACAAGUAAUUCUUUUGGCUCGUACCGUCCACGAAGCUUCAUAUUCCCACAAUGUGUUUCUUUUUUCUUUUUCUUUUUAAUAAAUUAUAAUCAGAGUUUUUGAUGGAAAAUUUUAGAAAUGACCCUUACUUUUUUCGGUUACCCGAAUAGCAAAUAAAAUAUUCCUUUUUCAAUUACACAGGUAAGGAAAUAAAUUUAUAGUCUAGUAUCUACUGUUUGUAACACAUAGCAAAUGAAAUUUUCCUUUUUUCAAUUGCACAAACAUGUAAUUGUUUUGUACAUACCUUUUCUAGCGGCUUCAAAAAGUUUCAAACCUUAUAGAAUCGGUGCCGAAGCUAAAAUCAUUUUUUUGGAUGGGUUAGAUUUUUUUUAAAAAUGAAACUUAUUUCUGAAAUUUUUUUUAUACAAACAAAAUUAAGCACACUAUAAGCAAAAAUCUAACCACAAAACUAAAAAAAAAAAAUACAAUGUAAAUAAGAAAAAUAUUAUCAAAUAUUAAAUUUAUUUUUAUUUUUUUAUAAAUAUUAAAAAGUAAAUUUAUAAAUUAUAAUUUUUUUUUCAAAAAACUGCCCGGGUUAGCCUACCUUUUAACUUUGCCUCUGUAUGGAAUGGGUCAAACUUUGGGUUAGUAUUUUAAUUAAUAAGAAGAUUACUGAUCUUGCGUGCGGUGUGCCCGAUAAACACUGUUGUAAUUGAAGAAAAAACGGUAUUGCUAUUGCUGACUCUUAUCAAAGGCCUCGAUAAAUCAACCAUUUCUUCACAUCAAACUGAGGCAUAAGAAGUAUGGAGCCUAGGUGUAGGAGAGAAAGCUAUAACAUAUAUGACACAAGAUCAAUUUGGAUAGACCUUGCUGAUCAUGUCUGUGAAUGAAGAAGAUUCACCUUGAUGCCAUAGCGGAGCAAAUUAUUAGGAGGCAAGAUGGACAUGUCACAUAGUUAAGGGGGAUUCUAAAUCCCGAAGGGUACAAAAGCCUAUGCUUUGAACCUCAAAGCAUUAGGAGGCAGGAUGGACAUGUCACAUAGUUAAGGGGGGUUCUAAAUCCUAAAGGAUACAAAAACUUAUGCUUUAGUGUCUAACACAAGCAAGUUAAAUUCUGUUUGAAAUUGAGGUUGAGAAACUGUAACUUAAAAACUAAAGCACUAAAGUGUUAGGUAAACACUAACGUUGUAGUUUGGAAGUUAAAUUAAUUUAAUUUUAUAUUUAUAUGAUGAAAAAUUUAUUAUAUCUUUAUUAAUUUAUCAAAAUUAUUAUUUAAAAGUUGUAGUUGUUACAUACUGUUAACUUUAAUUUCUUCAUUAUAGAUUUUUUUUUUUUUUUUUUUUACAACGGUUGUAUCUUAGAAGCCAUAGGACUUCAAUACCAAACAAGACUUUCAUUAACCACUUUAAUAGAGUUAGACUAUCUAAUUGACCAAUCCAAAAAAACAAAAAAGUUUGUUGGUUACCAGAAUUUUACGUUCUGUUAACAUAUAAUUUUUUAAGGUAAAAAAAGAAGGGGUGCUAAUCAAAUUUUUGGGAAAAAAAGAAAAAGAAAAAAGUGCCGUACUUAUCAAAUUUCUAAAUAACCAUGUUGUUAAAUUUAAAUCAUACACUACAAUAAAUGUGAUGUAAAUUAUGUAAUAAAAGAUUAUAGAAAGAUCAAAGAAAUAGGGUUAUAAAUGGGGACUCUACCAUGUUACAAUUGUGAUACCAUAUCACACAGUAUUUAUUUUUAUCCCAUAAAACCGUUGGAUUUAAAAGCAAGUGAUCUGACACGUGAGAGGUAGCCACGUUUGUCUCAAAACAUACCGGAAAAGUCGGUUAAGAAAAGGUAAAGUCACCGGUAGCAAAACUCACAGUUUUUGUCUUACCUCUCUCAAAAUGCACGGUGACUGUACGCAUCGCCAGCUCUCUCAAUACUCACGGUGACUGUACGCAUCGACACCUCAAAAUCUCUAAUGGAGCUUCUCUAUCCUGGCCGUCUCGUCCAACACCAAAAGACCAAGUAUCGCUGGCGCCGUCAUUUGGGUAUAAUGGGUUUCAAUUUUGAACCAAUAGAAGGAAAUUUUGUGAAAGAGAGAGGGGGAGGGGAAUUCUCAAAAAUUCGUCAGCCAUGGAAGGCUUGAUAUUCUUUUCUUAAAUCUUAAAGCAUUUCAGAUAUUUGGGUCGUUGUGAUUUUUAUUUUGUCAUGAUGAAUUUUUUUACUUUGGAUUUGUCUCAUUGAAAGGUUUAUUUUAUUUUUAUUUUUUGUGGAUCAUUGAAGUUGCUAUUUUUGGUAUUAUAAAGAUGGGUUGUUUGCAUGCAUUGCAAGAAUAUUGACCUGUUAUGCCAUGUUUGUCAAUUUCAAUGAAAUCUGAGGAAACCCAUUUGCCUGGUUUGUUCAAGGAGCCUUCAGAUUUGUGAGUCAUUGUGUAGUGGGUUUACAAAAUGGUUUGUUGUUGAAAAUGCUUUGGUUGUGACGGGUGAAAUGGUGCCGAAGAUAAGUUGGUUUGAGCACUGGAGUAAUCCUUUUUUUUUUUAAUGUAUGUAUAUAUAAAAAGGAAGAAAUAUCAAGUUUCAUAUACAGUGUUACUUGUUUUUUAUGGCUCAUACAUCGUUUACAUGCCCUCUUUUUCCUUUCAACCAGAAAAUAUCCACAGCGGCUGUAUAUUGUAUGUGGUUCUUUAGCCAACAACAAUAUGUUAGUUUGAUCAUGGAAGUAUAAAUUGAAAAGUGGCAUAAUAUUUUUGUUUUAACCUUUAAUUACCACUUUUCAGUGAGGUGUCUAUUUUGCUUGCUCGUUCAUUUUUUUAUGGGAUUUCGUGUUUGAUCUAGUUUGACAUGCAUUAUAUACAAUUAUCAAUUUUACCAUGAUUAGAGUUUCAUAAAUUUCUUGAAGUGUUUUGUGUUAGGAUCGGUUUAGAAGUGUUAAUUUGUGAUAGACAGCACAUGCAUGAGCCACGAAGAAUGCAUGAGCCACGAAGAAUGCAUGAGCCACGAAGAUCUGGAAGAAUGCCAAAGCCAAAUCCUAAGUUUGGUACGUGAGGGCAUGAGUCCCAUGCAAGCCAUGCAUGAAACAUGCAUGUGCUGAGAUCGUGAAGAUACGUGCUGGGGCUGGAGCCGUGAUCUAGGAAUACGCUUAUCAACGAUUGUGCAGCGAGUAAGGAGGGAAGAUAAGACACGGAAGUUGUUUUCGAUUAUCUUUCGGUUUCGAAUUCUUAGCUAAGUUGUUAUACUCGUUUAUUUAGCCGUAAUUGUAGGAUGGAAACCAAAGUCUUGUUAUUAUAAAUAAGCUCCAGAAUAUGAAUAAAAGUAUUGAGAAUUCUAAACAAUAAUUAUUUGGUCCUUUCUCGCCAUAAGCAGAAAAAUAUCACUUGUGUUACGCGUGAUCAUUGGCUGUCUCUGACUGGGACCUAUCAAUUGGUAUCAGAGCGGGUUAACAAUGAUGACCAACAAAGAAUGUAUUGAGCGAAUUGAAGUUGAUCUGAAAAGCAUGGAGAGCCGAAUGGAACGCAUGGAGAUUGGGAUCAAUGACAAGCUUCAGCGAUUAGAAGACACCAUCAGCAAAUUAGCAGAAGCUUUCAAUGCAUCCAAAGACACCACUAGCCACGGCACCAACGAAACCAUUGGUUCACCGCAGCCAAUUCGAGAAGAAAGUGAAGGAGUAGUGAAGCUGCACGGUAUGCCCAAGUCAAUCAUCAGCGAUCGUGACCCCAUAUUCAUCAGCAAAUUUUGGCAAGAGUUCUUUAAUUUAUCAGGCACCAAACUCAAAAUGAGCUCGGCGUACCACCCACAAACCGACGGCCAAACGGAGGUAAUUAAUCGAUGCUUGGAACAGUACUUGAGAUGUUUUGUUCACCAGUGGCCGCGAAAGUGGCACUCUUUUUUACCGUGGGCAGAAUUUUGGUACAACACCACAUUCCACGUCUCCACCGGAAUGACUCCAUUCCAAGCUUUGUAUGGAAGACCACCUCCAGCCGUGCCCAUGUAUCAACUUGGUUCCUCGCCGGUGCAUGAGGUUGAUCAAGCCUUACAUUCGCGUGAUGAACUGCUCUUACAAUUAAAGAAAAACUUAGCCACAACAGCUAACAGGAUGAAGCAAACAGCUGACAAGGGUCGCCGCGACGUUGAGUUCACAUAGGGAGAUAUGGUGUUAUUAAAGUUGCAGCCCUAUCGGCAGACUUCAGUGUUCAGAAGGGCACAUCAGAAAUUAGUUUGCAGGUACUUUGGGCCGUAUUUAGUUCUUCGCAAAGUUGGAGCCGUUGCCUACGAACUACAAUUACCAGAGAAUGCUCGAAUUCACCCGGUGUUUCACGUCUCUUUGCUUAAGAAAGCCGUGGGCGAUUUCCUUAGCAACAGCGUCGAUUUACCACCUGUGGAUGAUGAAGGCUCGGUGAUCAUGGACCCUGAAGCUAUCCUUGACACACGUUGGGUGAAGAGAGGAGGUAAAGUGAUUGAGCAGAAUCUAGUCCGUUGGAAAAAAAUGCCGGCUGAAGAAGCAACAUGAGAGGACACCACAAUGUUGCACCAACAGUUUCCCAAUCUGACCCUUGAGGACAAGGGUAUUCUUCGAGGGUGGGGCAAUGAUAGACAGCACGUGCAUGAGCCACGAAGAUCUGGAAGAAUGCCAAAGCCAAAUCCUAAGUUUGGUACGUGAGGGCAUGAGUCCCAUGCAAGCCAUGCAUGAAACAUGCAUGUGCUGAGAUCGUGAAGAUACGUGCUAGGGAUGGAGCCGUGAUCUAGGAAUACGCUUAUCAACGAUUGUGCAGCGAGUAAGGAGGGAAGAUAAGACACGGAAGUUGUUUUCGAUUAUCUUUCGGUUUCGAAUUCUUAGCUAAGUUGUUAUACUCGUUUAUUUAGCCGUAAUUGUAGGAUGGAAACCAAAGUCUUGUUAUUAUAAAUAAGCUCCAGAAUAUGAAUAAAAGUAUUGAGAAUUAUAAACAAUAAUUAUUUGGUCCUUUCUCACCAUAAGCAGAAAAAUAUCACUUGUGUUACGCGUGAUCAUUGGCUGUCUCUGACUGGGACCUAUCAAUUUGUGAAACUUAGAAAAUUUAUUUAUACAAUGCUCUAUAUUCUCUCUUUAUAAUUUGUGAAGAAACAGAAAAAAGAGGGAAGUCGUGUUUGUAUUCUCUGAAAAAGAAAACAACCUGAUCCCACCCUGACCUACCCCCAUCGGCAGCAGUAUGGACCUAUAAAGUUCAUCCAACUACUUCGAUAGAAUUGUUAUUGAACCCUUGAUUGACAUGUUUGACUUUCUGGGUAUUUGUAUUUUUCUAGUUUUUUUUUCUUCUUAUUUGUGCAUUUCUCAUUUAAUAGAAUGCAAGAAUGAUGAUUUUUUUUUCAGGGGCUUGAUAGUGAGCAUCAGCAAAAUCAAGUUACGUAGUUGAAUCAAAGAUAUCGCAGCUAUUGGUUAGCUGGGAGCUGUUUUUAUCUAACCGGCCUGGAAGCUCAUAAUCCAAAUCCAUUACGAUUCAUUGUUUUUAUCUACAUGUGGAUUAAUACAUCGGAGCAUCAGUUAGUUGCUGUAAAUUAGUUUAUGAAUUAUUUAUUGAUUGGUGGAACAAUAUCUAAAUGAAACUUUUGACAAAGACACUCUUCUCAGUAUCUAAAUGCAACUUUAUCUAAACAAUAUAAACAGACACGUUAGUAACUUCUCCAAUUAACUCCACUGCAUGUAUCUUGUCCAUCUUCAACCCUGAAUGCUUAAGUUCACAGAGAUCUUCGAACUUUUGACAGGCAAUGCCGCCCUCAAAACAAACCCCAACCUAUACGCAUGUAAAUAUAUUUGGAUUUAUCAUCUGUAUACAGCAAAACAGAUUUUGCACCAAAAUUGAUAAGUAAAUUUUAUAUAUACUAGCAUCAUGAAUCAAAAAGCAAAGGAAAAUAAGCCAAUAUCAUUUAUUUGUGGGUGUGUGUGUGUGUAAUAGUUUACCAAAUGAAAGCACCAUUAGUAAAUUUGAAAAAGAAAAAAAGGAAAAAGGAAUUUCAUGCAAGAAUUGGAAUCCAAAAUGUAAUGGCUCAGUCAGUCUGGAGUCAUUUUAUUGUCGGUGUUGUAUAGUGCCAUAUUAAAGAACAAAGCACUAGUAAGAGAAAAAAGCAUCCCUCACACAACAAACUCCAUUUGUCAUGUUCUAUAGUUCCCCACCCAUUUAAACAACACAUAAAUUGAUAUAAUAAACUUAAAACUUACCUUAAAGAGUAAAAUCUGCACUUAAACUCCACCUACCUGAAGUCCCUAUCAUCAUAGAGAGAUUUAACUGAUAUUGGUUCCAUUAUGUUUGCACAAAGAAUUGCUUUUGUACAUUUAACUUGCUUCUUCAGUUCAGCUGUAGCCUUGGCAAACUUCCUCAAGUCUCCCCAUUAUCAAUUUGUUUAUUGAGCUCAUCUGCAAAGUAUUCAAGCAACAAUAAUCCAUGUUCUGACUGCCAAGUUCUGCAUCUCAUCUAAUAUCCUUAACCUGCAAAAUUGUCAAAUAUCAACUAGCGUCUAAAAGUAAUUAGAUAUGUAAAACAUAACAAGUGGCACAUAAAGAUUGUAUAGAGCACAGAUGAAGUGAAGAAAAAAUAAUGCUACGGGAAUAAUGACCACUCAACUGAUAUUGCAUGCUUAUAUCGCAAAAUUAUUUAGUCACAGAGUACUACAAAUACUGACAAAUAGCUUAUGGAUCCAUCAUACUGGCUAUCAAAUACUAUUGUGCUAACUAUGUUAUCAUCGGCUUCCAAUGCAUGAUUGCAGCUCUUUAAAUCACUAGAUUUCCGCUUACGAGCCCCCGCUGGCCUCAUUCCUGUAAUGAAAUUACAAAAUCAUUUAUCGUUUCCAAUCUCACAUUCUCUGAAUCUAAUAAAUAAACAUACUGUUCUUGCAAGCUAAUUACAAGUUUUAAAUCUUUUAAAAUAAAUAAUAAUAAGUACGGGUUUUAAUAAGGAAUUAACUACUGCAUCGGUUGAUUCGAUCCGCACAAGAACAGAUCAAAGCGACCCGAAAUUUACUCUGAUUUGAUAUAUACCUUAACUUUCAGCACUGCUUAACUUUCGAUUGUACUUUGCAGCGACGAUUAUAAUUUCACCGUCAAUUGCCCAAAAGUGAAAGGUCAUAUUCGUGUUCUAAUCACCAGAAGUUUUUAAAUCCCACAAAAUUGCAAUCCUCCAAUUCUAAUUUUAUUUCUUAAUUAUUGUCUCGAGAUCAAUUUUGUGCUGAAAUCAGUGAAACUCUAAUCAGUUCUAAGAAAUUUCCGGAACCCGCGCUCACUGAGCUGUUAUUAUAUUAAUACUCAACCGGCUGCAACGGUUGCUAGUCACUGCAUCAAUUAUCCAAUAUUUAAUUUCAGCCGUUAUAUCGAACAAGGAAACAUCCAACGACUUUGUUGAAUGAGGGCAAAAACUGUGAUAUGGUACCACAAUUGUAACGUAGACAGACCCUAUAAAUGGGGUUAUUGUGAAAGAAUAUAGAGGGAGGAAUUCAAGCAAUAAAUAAGAGACACGCCAUACAGCCCAUACCGUCCUUUUCUGUCAAGUUCAUCAUUCUCAUUGGACACAGAGGGUAAAGAAGCAAAAAUGUAUGUAAGACACAUGCAUAUUAUUUAAUUAAACGUGUUAUUUGGCACUUGUUAAAUUGUUCCCUUUGUAGGUCAUUGUGGACUCCAAAUUAAUUGUACGCCUUUUAAACAGAAAUAAGUGCAUUACAUAUUUUUUUUAUCUUUUUUUACUUUAUUUUUGGAUUUUUUUUUUUGGAAAAAGCGAUGACUCAUGAGAAGAGGAAGAAGAAGAAUAGUAGAACACAUGUAAUAUCAGUUCUUUUUUUUUUUACUUUUUACUUCUUUCUUUGAAUUUUUUUUUUUAAAUUUUUAUCAUCCAUUUUGUGUCAUUGGAGUCCAAAAAUAUUGUGCAUAUAUAAAUAAUGCGGCUUCUGAGUUUAUGACAAUUUACCAUGCGUUAAUAACGCUUGAUGAAAAUGUUGCAAUCAGGAUUAUUCUUUUAUUUUGUCAAGUUACACUGUUCAAUGUUCUCACUGUAAGGUUGACUUCAAGGGAUGAAAUCGUUUAGAUUAAAAAUAAAAAUAAAGGAAAUUCAUUCUCUUCAAUUUUUUAUUUUAUUUGUACUAAUGUUACAAAUAAAAUAUCAAAUAAUUAUUGAAAUUAGUCUAUAUUAACUCAUAUACUAGGAAUGUCUAUCUACUUACAUUUUGUAAGGAAAAAGACUCUCCACUUAAUGUAUUUUUCGAGUGCCUGGCUACCUUAUUCCUAUGUGCUUCAGUGGGAUGCAAUAACUUUUGCUGAUAGCCUAAUAGGCCCUACAAAUCAUAAUUUAGCAUAGAGAAAUGUUGUUACAUGUUUGUUGGGAUGAUAAAAAAGUCCGGGCCAACUCUGUUCAUUUCUGUGGACUUUUGCUGGAAUUUCCCACGUGAGGGCUUGGACAAGGGUUAAAGGAAAAAAACUUAGACUAGGUCUAAUCCCUUUAUUUUAAAAAAUAUAUAAAAAUUAAAAUAAAAAUAAAAAAUGGAAAAAUGAAAAAAGAAGGCUUAAAUUCCAAAUUCAUUUAUUGAUAACGAUAAACAAAAAUUUAAAAUUAUAAUACUAAAUUUUUUUUAAGUGUUAAUUAAUUAAGAGAGUACUUGAAUUAGAAAAUUAAAUACUAGAAAAUUAAAUCUCUAAAUUUUUAUUUGCUUUAUUUAAUAUUUUAUUUUGAAAUAUUUAUUUUCUUUAAUUCAUUGUUGAUUAUAACAACUUGAUUAUUAUUAACUCAUUUUAAGUUUACAACAAUUUAAAAAAUUUUGAAAAAAAAAAGUGAAAGCCCAAGCCCGACCCAGCUCCGUAUGGGCUCGGCCCUUACAUUUCCACUCUAAUGGCCUUGGGCUUGGGCUUGAAAAAACCGAACAUGCUCACAUUUUGCUAUCCUUGCCUGCAUGUAAGUUCAAAGUUGCAAAUUGAUGAAGUGGAAAUAUAGAAGAUUGAUAGAUUAGAGAAACUAAGUUUCUUAAUAAUAAAAUUUUAUUAGAAAAGUCUAAAUGAAUAAAACGAUAGCCUACCCCUUUUAUACUAAUCCCAAACAUCGAGAAUUUAUCAAAAUAGUAAAAUUCAAAAUAUUGUUUUAUAAUAAAAUUCUCCUAAUCUAAAUAAGAAAAACAAAACAAACGACACCCAAUUUUAAUAUCUAAAAAAAUAAAAUUCUAAAAAUAAUAUAAAAUAACUUAAAACUGUAAAAAGACCAAAAAAAGAAAUAGAAUUUUUUACUUAAUUAUGGAGCAAGACAAGGCAAGCAUUCUAAGUUUGAUUAGUCUCGUCGUAACUUUUGAAAUGAUAUAUUAUAUGCCUAAAAUGAACAUAUAAAGCCCAAGUUAUAACUCCUAAAAGAUACCUCCUUCAUGAUGAUCCUACGCAACUAUCUCACGUCGAAAAUGAAUGCAAAAGUUACAUUUCAAAUUAAAUUCAAAACAAUCAAUUCAAGCAUUAAUGCCGUGUUUUUUUUAACCAAAAUACUCUCUAAGGAUUUUAUAAAUUGCUUUCUAAUUUUAUUUUGCAAAACACACCAAAUCAAAGUGAUUUUUCUCUUUUCUCUCAAACAAUUUCAACAUUUGGUAAUAGAGCUGAUGACAGGCAUUAGUAAACAAUGUGCAAUAGUAAUGCACAACAAUAUAGAAAAGCAAAUUGGUAAAGUGUAAACUAUGAAAUGAUAAAAUAGAGCCUUUUUUUUUUAAGAUCACAUGUUAAGUUAUUGGCGUAUUUUGUCGGGAUCAUAUACUUUUUUAGAUCUACGUGCUUUUGGUCAAAUUUAGCAUAAUUAAAAGUUCAAAACUGAAGUUCAUAUUCAAUAAUAAUAAACUAAUAAUAAUAGAUAAUGUAAUACUGACUAUUAAUUUAGAUCCUACGAUAUUAAAUUUUUUUUAAUACUUAAUAAAAAUAACAACAAUAAUAAUUUUUUUUAAGGGUUAACUUAAUUGUUAACUUAGACUUACAUUGAGUCAUAAAUCAUAGUUUAUAACAACAUUAAUGCAUAUAUUCAUAAAAAUCAUGAUAUUUAUAAUUUAUUUAUUAAAAUCAUGAUAUCACCUAUUCAUUUAACAAAUUAUAAACAUAAAACAAUUAGAUUUUUUUUAAGAUUAAGAAUUAAAUGAAUCUAAAAAACUUAAGCUAAUAAAAUGCAUUAAAGAUUCAAAUUCAAAUUAUUUGCAAAAUUAUAAUUAUUCGUAAAAUUAUAAAAUUUUAAGUUUACUUUCAUUAAAAAGCUUUUACCUUAAUAUACUUUGACUCGCAUGCUAUUGAUAACGCAUAAGCCACGUGCUAAUCGUCCAGUGAAACAUUUUUAUUGAUGUCCUUUUCACGUGCUGUGUUUUAGCCUAUUUUUAAGCAUAUCAUGCUUUUAAGAUCCACUUGCCUAAAAUUCUCAACUCAGCCCAGCACUCGUGCAUGCCAUGCCUUGUCGCUUACCCUACCAAAACGUCCUUGUGCCGUACCAUGCUGAACGGAUAUGUGUCGUGCAUGUGUCGUUCCACCUGUCACCUGGUCCAUUAGUCAUCUCUAGAAAACACCAUAUAUUUAUUGAGUGUGUUGCAAGCAUUGUGUCGCAAGUUGCUCAAAUUUCCCCUAAACGGAGGCUAAAUUAGCGCGCACGAGUACGGUCAGUAAAAGUCUGCCCAAUAAUGGGAUGCACUCAACAGUAAGGUGCGCUGAGCGAUGGGCUGCCUCAUAUAACUAGUGAGUUAUGGUGCACUUAGUAAGUGAAUAGCCCAUAAUCAACAAGCCUAACUCGAUUUUUAGAUUUCUCUACACCUUGUAAAUGGCUAGAUUUUUAGGCAAGUUGCAUGAACUCUCUAUAAAAUAGGGGUGAGCACCCACUAUUUGCUCACCACCACACCACACACACAGCACCUAGCAACUCAAAAACUCUCGUAAAAAUCUCUCUUAUAAUUUCUCUUUUGUGAGCAAUAAAAUAUUCUUUAGCCAUAUUGCUCUCUUCUCUCUAGCAGUAUUGCAAACAUCCUUACUUGGCUAGUUUGAGAAGCUCUUUAGGCUUACUUAACAACUUUUGUACUAGAAGUUAUGUAAGUACUGCACGGGAUUGUUGCGCAAAAUAGUCAUCUCGUGACAACCGGCUUAGUUUUGCUUUGCACAUUUACGCCCACAAUAAUAAAAGCCAAAAUAAGAUAUAAAAAAAUGUUGGGAUUUGACAUCAAGUAGAAGAGGUUUUGCCCACUCCAAAAUCAUCAAAAUGAUUAAUUAUCUUCUAUAUAACCUGAUGAUUUUUUUAACCUUUGAGAAAGCAACCACAGAGGUGGAACAAACUUCUACUCAUGGGGACUUGACAUACGGUUAAUGAAGAAGGGUAAUUUCGUAAAAUUCCAAUCAAAAUUAGAAAAAAGGCAAGCCAUAUUCAAAAGUCAAUCUUGAUCAAACAAACGGCAGGAGGGACAUCUGUAAUUACGGCAUUUUCGAGGAAUUGUUUCUAAAACUAACUAAAACGGGAAAAUGGAAAGGGACAAACACGAAAGCUCAUAGUUUGCUUGGUUGGGCUAUGUUCUGCUAGUAGGAGAGACAGACUGUAGAAAGGGUUUCUUUUCUCUUUUUUUUUUUUUUCUAAACUCUUUUUUUUUUCAAAUAGACAUAUAGCCACGUGUUGUCUCAUAUAAAAAAUAAUACUUUAUAUAAGUCCUAGGUCAGUUGGGCUGGAAAACAUUUAAAAUCGAACAUAUCAGGCACGUUGUAAGUUCGCAAUUGGAGAAUCAUGUUGUCAGCCCCGCAACCCCCAAAUGGGAACUUUAGAUAGAAAAAUAUAGCGUCGCAACGAUAAUAUUUAUUAAUAAUAAAUUUUCUUAUUACAAUUGUUCUUGUCAAAAACUCUUUGAUGGUAUUUCAUGUGUUGAAAAAAAUGUAAAAUAGUUUCAUUAUCAAUACAAUUAAAAACAUAUUUUUUUAAUAUAUACAACUAAAUUAUCACUUGAUUUGUUUUAAUAUAAUGCAACAUGAAGAACAAAUAUGAAUACACAUACAUUAGGGAAUGGCAAUGGGAAGAAUAGGGGAGGGGACCGAUAUCUCCAUACCCAUUUUCAAUAUUUUGUAUAUGUCCUCAUCUGCUCUCCAUCCCAUCAGAAUUACUUGAAAAAAUUUUCAUCCUCUCUCCAAAUAAUAAGAGGGGAUCCCUGAAAGUCUCCGAUCUCCAAGUAAUUAAUACAUUUUUAAUUUUUAAUUUUAAUUAAUUAUAUUAAAAUAAAAUUUUAAUAAAAGUAGAAUUAAGGCGGUAGCUAGCUACCAUAGAAAAUUAGAAAUUAGGUUUUAUGAUGUUGCCUUAACUUUUGUUUUAGUAGAUAAACGUUUAAAAUAUGUAACGAAUAUUAUAAAUAAAUAAAAUUGAGCCAACAAGAUCCUGUUUGGCUUUUUUUAUGUCCUGAAUAGAUGUUUAAGAUUAUAGCUAGUUAAGUAGGCUCAUUAAAGCAUCUGACAAAUUGUUACAUAAAACCAGGAUAAUUAGAGUGCGAAUCAAAUAACCCAAAUUAUAGAUUCCCUAAUCAAACAAACAUAACAAAAAAAAUUUUGAAAUACAAUUUUUUUUUUUUUAUCAGAAAUGCGCAUUGGCACCAAAUAAAAUUGAGCAAGAGCUAAUGGUGUCCUACAAGUUGACAUGGUCUACCUUUAGCAAGAUUCAAAUAAGAAGGACCACAGUAAACAUAAGAGGAAGUAAUUUAACUUUAUAUAUAAAUCCUACAAUUUAGUUGCAAGUAAAAUAACUCCAAUCUGAAACAUCAAAUGUAUAAGAUUCGUAAGUAAAAAUAGGUUACACGAUUAGUUAUUACCUGGAUUACGUUGUAUAUAUUACAUGGUAUACCUAAUCAGACAAAUAACGUGGACAUGAAGUGAAUAACUUAAUUUGAAUCUUGCUAUUUUAUUUUAUAAUUUUAAACUAAUUAAUUCAUGCACACACAUUAUGUAUGCAUUAAGUGGAUACAAUACAACAGAAGUAUUCUACAAUCUCUUAUAUGAAAGUUCUUAAUUCAUGUACUCUUUUUAGAAUUGACCUUUUCAUAAUAUUAUUUGUGAAGUAUAUUUUCAAACUAAUUUCAGAAUAAUUUUAAAUUAUUGUAUAAGUCUAUGUAUCUAAAGUUUCAAUAAACCCCGCGGAAUUAUAAUAUUUAAUUCAUUUUUUUUUCCUCUAUUGAUAACAUCAUUAUCACUUUCAUAGAGUUUCAAUAAGCCCAGCCGAAUAACCUUUUGUCAACGUCACUGCAUAUGCCCCACCUUCUCCCUCUCGACUCUCUCAAGACACUCCAAAAAAUACUCUAAAGUCCAACAACAUUUUACAAUCUCUCUCGAUUUUUCUCGCUUCAGUUUACCAUCCUCAAACACGAACACGAACACGAACAUGAAUUAAGUUAAUUAGUUUAUGGAACACAAACUCAUCGUCAGCAUCAUAUCCUAAUUGAAAAAGAAGGAUUGCGAGGGAAACUAAGCAUGUGCCUUCAUUUUCACUUGAAAUAAAGCGCGAUGGAAAGAUCUCAUGUUAUCACAUGAUCCCGUGUAAUCACCUAGAAGCCCUUCCACGCACAUUUCUUCUCAAAUUGUCUUCUUCUAAUUUCUUGGGCCAUCGCGGAACCACAAUGUCAAUGCGAGGAUGAGCGAGUGCUGUUCAGCUCGCAGCAUUUGGAGCCGGAGCUCGGCUUCCCUUAUUUGUUGGUCGUUUGGUAGGCGUCGCCAAAAGGCAAAGAGCAUCCUCUGGCGUUCGUGGAGUUGGUCCUCGAUGCGAUCGAUUUCUUCUCCAAGUUGAGCAAGCCUUUGUGCCAUAGCCAUACAAUUAUUUACUUUCGAUCGAGCACUUUUCGUCUGCACCCAAAUGUUUCAUUAAUAUUUUGAAGUAUACACACCUGUUUCAACAACUAUCCGGAUCACGUUAAAAGACAAUUUUACCCUCACUUGAAGUGUAAAAUAACUAACUUGAAGUGUAAAAUAACUAAAAAAGCCACAACACUAGUUUUAAAUUCUAAUUGACCUGGGUGAAUAUUAAAAUUUCUUAAAGGUUAAAAAAAAAAGUAAAAAUGUUUUGUUAUGGGAAUUGAAAUAUCCCCUAUAUCUUCAUCCAUAAUCAUCUAUCCAUGAUAACAAUUUAAUAAACUUGAAAAAGCAAGAUAUCCAAUCCCAAUGAAUCAAACAACCAAUUUUCUUCAUAAAGUUUAGCUUUUGCUUUUAAAAAUUCUAACUCUUGAGACCUUAAAUAAACUCAUAUUCAAAUUUACAUUUUCUAUAAUGAAAAUCUUCAAUUUACCCUUUUAAUAUUUUGAAAAACAGGUCCAACUACAAUAUAAUUGUGGUUUCAUACCUAUUUUUUUUUAUCUUUUUGUGAUCCAACCCAAGAGUUGCAAAGGCUAUUCCAACGGUUUGGAUGUUAUUAUUUGAUUAUUAACAAUAUGGUCUCUUAUGUUUACUAAAAGAAUAAAAAAAGAUUAAGUUUCAAAAUUUUGACCCAUUAGUCCGUUAAAUAUUUUAUUAUCAAAGGUAAUUUAGUAAAUGAACAUAUUUAUAUAUUAAAAAUAUGGAUGAAUUAUUUUAACUUGCUAAAAUACUCUCAAAUUCCAUUUACUUAAAAUAUGAAUUAGAUUUUUAUAAUACUAUUUUGUAUUUAGUGUAACACAAAAUUAGACAAGGUUUUAUAUAAAUUUUGACAAUAUUAAAAUGAAAAAUUAAUAAAUAUUAAAUAAAUGCUUGGAUAGUCAUUUAAAUUCAUUAUAGAGUUUAUAAAUAAUAUUUUCAAAAUAAUAAAUUUCUAUAUGUAAAUUUGAAAUUAUGUAAAAUUACUUAGACUUUAUCACACAUAUGAAGCUGAUCAAUUAUUUAUUUAAUAUGAAAACAAAUGAAUUGUAUAAUAUUUAUUCUAUUACUUAAAUUUAAAAUUUGUUGAGAAGGAGAUAGAGGGAAUAAUUUUUUUUAGAAUUUUAAAAUUAUUAUAUUUUAAUUGAGUUUAUUACAUAAAAUUAUUAAAACUUUAGUUUUUAUUAUUUGUAUAAAACAAUAGGAAUUGUUGAAGAAAAUCCCAAAUAAAUUUUUUAGAAUUUUGUAAUUAUUAUAUUUUAAUUGGGGCUUAUUGUAUAAAAUUUUUAAAACUUAUAAUUUUUUAUUAUUUACAAAAAAUUACAGGGACUGCUAAAGUAAAUACCAAAAUGGUGUUUGGUACAACGGGGUAAGAUAGUUUUACCCUUGAAAAACAUUAAUUUACUUCCAUUUAUCAGUCAAAAGACUAAAAUAAAUGGAGACAUGUGGACGAGAAACUUUUUAACUUUUUAGUGGUAUUUGAUAAAUAUAAAUAAAUUGAAAAUUCUCGUUUUUACUUUUUAUUGGGCAUAAGUUAAAAAUCUUACUCUCUAUUUAUUAUGCUUUAACAAGAGAAAGAAAGAAAACAGAAAACAAAUCUCUUCUAUAGCAGACUUAACAAAAAUUUCAGCUGAGACUUAAACCGACUUUUUCAAGGAAAUGAAAUUAGGAGAACAAAAACACUUUGAAGUGGACUGCAUAUAUAUACUCAAAAAUAACAUACAACUUGAGUCAGUAAUGGUAAAGAAAACGAACGUACACAGACGGGUUUGGAUUUAGAUGAUGAAGAAUGCACUGAAAGCUUUGCAUUUGAGUUCUCUUUUUCGGGUGAGUAAGUUAGGGAACUGCAAGGCCGAUCAAUUUGAAAAAAGAAAAAAGAAAAAAACUAAAAUGUAAACGCAGCUUGAACUUGAUUUCUUUUGGUUUUUGGGGAGGGGACGGGGGGAGGGGAGGGAAUGUAUACGCAGCUUCAAACUUGGUUUCUUUUCGUUUUUUUCCCCGGGGGUGUGGAGGCCUGGAGGGAAUGUAAACGAACUAACGAAGCCUCAAUCCUCAUGCAGCUGUAUUUAUAUGAAGUGGGUACUGCUGACUGAUCCACGAAGGAAGACUUUUGAUGUCAUUGGUGUUUCUUUAUUUUUGACCUUUUAGCUAGAUGACAGAAGAAUGCCGAGUGCUACGGACACUCGCGAGUGUCUCAAUCGCGGCUCUCUAUAUAGACACGUGUCUAUCAAAAUGAAACCUUAUCAGAGAGACAGCCGCAAGUAUGACGAGACAAGCGCGAUCGUAAGGAUGGAAGCCGCAAGUAUGAAGAGACAGGCCCAAUCCACAACGAUCCAAGAGCAAUCAUUACCUGCAAACUCAACACAACACCUAAUUAACUUCAAACCCCACCAUAAAUCCACCAACAGUCACUAUUCGAAACAAAUCUACCUCAAAUGCGACGUCAAAUAAAAGGAAUAAAAAGGUUUCCUUAAAAGAGAGAGAGCUGCGAGUAUGAAGAGACAAGCACGGUCCACAACGAUCGAAGGCUGUGUGGUAUGUGUCUUGUAUAGAUUGAACAGAGCAAUCAUUACCUGCAAAACUGAACCAAACACUCAAUUAACAAACAAAUUUCAAUUUGAAACCCGACCUUAAAUCCACCAUUGGGCACUAUUCGACACAAAUCUACUUGAAAUCCGACAACAAAUAAAAGGAAAAAAAAUUCUAAAUCAACAUCGAAAUGAAACCUUUAUAAGAGAGAAAGCCGCAAGUACGAAGAGAUCUGAAGUCCUGUUGGUAUAUGUCUUGUAUAGAUUGACAGAGCAAUCAAAGGCCGUGUCGACCAGAGCAAUCGCAGAAUAGAAGAGAUAAGAGAGGAAAAAAGAAGGAAGAGGAGAGCUGCAGCAGCAAAUGAUCAGAGCAAUCAUUACCUGCAAAACUCAACACAACACCAAAUUAACAACCAACAUUUCAAUUUCAAACUUAACCUUAAAUUGAAACAAAUCUACUUGAAAAUAAAAGAAUAAGCAACUCCGAAUCAAAAUCGAAAUGAAACCUUUUAUAACAGAGACAGCCGCGAGUAUGAAGAGACAGGCACAAUCUGCAGCGAUCGAAGAGAAAUCACCACUACCUGCAAAACUCAACACAACGCCUGAUUAACAACAAACAUGCCAAUUUCAAACCCACCUUAAAUCCACCAACAGACACUAUAACUUGAAAUGCAAUAUCAAAUAAAAGGAACAAGUAGUCUAAAUCAAAAUCAAAACGAAACCUUAUAAAAGAGACAGCCGCAAGUCUGAAGAGACCAGCACGAUCCUAAAGGAUCAAAGCCGCAAGUAUGAACAGACCUGAUUAACAACAAACACCUGAUUACCUGCAAAACUCAACACAACACCUGAUUAUCAACAAACAUUUCAAUUUCAAACCCAAAACAAAUCUACUUGAAAAAAAAAAAAAAACAACUCCAAAUCAAAAUCGAAAUGAAACCUUAUUAGAAAGACAGCCGCAAGUAUGACGAGACAAGCACGAUCGUAAAGGAUGGGAGCCGCAAGUAUGAAGAGACAGGCCCAAUCCACAACGAUCCAAGAGCAAUCAUUACCUGCAAACUCAACACAACACCUAAUUAACUUCAAACCCCACCAUAAAUCCACCAACAGUCACUAUUUGAAACAAAUCUACCUCAAAUGCGACAUCAAAUAAAAGGAAUAAAAAGGUUUCCUUAAAAAAGAGUCCACAACGAUCGAAGGCUGUGUUGUAUGUGUCUUGUAUAGAUUGAACAGAGCAAUCAUUACCUGCAAAACUGAACCAAACACUCAAUUAACAAACAAAUUUCAAUUUGAAACCCGACCUUAAAUCCACCAUCGGGAACUAUUCGACACAAAUCUACUUGAAAUCCGACAACAAAUAAAAGGAAAAACAAGUCUAAAUCAACAUCGAAAUGAAACCUUUGUAAGAGAGAAAGCCGCAAGUAUGAAGAGAUCUGAAGUCCUGUUGGUAUAUGUCUUGUAUAGAUUGACAGAGCAAUCAAAGGCCGUGUCGACCAGAGCAAUCGAAGAGUAGAAGAGAUAAGAGAGGAAAAAAGAAGAAGAGGAGAGCUUCAGCAGCAAAUGAUCAGAGCAAUCAUUACCUGCAAAACUCAACACAACACCAAAUUAACAACCAACAUUUCAAUUUCAAACCCAACCUUAAAUUGAAACAAAUCUACUUGAAAAAUAAAGGAAAAAGCAACUCCAAAUCAAAAUCGAAAUGAAACCUUUUAAAACAGAGACAGCCGCGAGUAUGAAGAGACAGGCACAAUCCGCAGCGAUCGAAGAGAAAUCAUCACUACCUGCAAAACUCAACACAACGCCUGAUUAACAACAAACAUGCCAAUUUCAAACCCAACCUUAAAUCCACCAACAGACAGACACUAUAACUUGAAAUGCAAUAUCAAAUAAAAGGAAAAACAAGUCUAAGUCAACAUCGAAAUGAAACCUUUAUAAGAUAGAAAGCCGCAAGUACGAAGAGAGAAGCGCGAUCCUAAAAGAUCUGAAGUCGUGUUGUAUAUAUGUCUUGUAUAGAUUGACAGAGCAAUCAAAGCCCGUGUCGACCAGAGCGAUCGAAGAGGAGAAGAGAGAAGAGAGAAAAAGAGAAGAGGAGGAGAACUGCAGCAGCAAAUGAGCAAAGGGAGCUCAAUUUAUAAACGACUAAACGAGGGAUUCCGUUUGCUCAUUUGCUGCUGCAGCUCUGGACCGUUGAGGGGGGACACGUGGAGGGAUCGUGGGGAGUGGUGGAAGUAACUGUGGUUGAGUUAAGGUUGACUAGAGUUAUGUGAGGGAUCCAAGGCUGGGUGUUUUCCUUUUGGAUAUGCGUUUUGUCAGUGGGAACGGCAUCGUUUGUUUGGGUUUAAAAUUGAGCACAUUUAUUAUACGUAGCGGAAUCGUACAAAAAUUGCUGCUGCAGUAUAAAUCUGAAGGAAAAAAAAAAAAAUGGUUGGUAUGUGGAAAUUAUACUUGAAACGUUGUCGUUUUUGGCAUAAUUGCUGUGAUAUAUUUAUUUGUUUGUGUUUUUAUUUCUUUUUUCUGGGUUUUAGGGUCACAAUCGGAGAGCGAAGACAAGGUCUCGUUGGAACUCUCUGAAGAAGUUCUUCAGAGCAUGGAAGUGGGCAUUUCUUUUAGAGAUUAUGUAAGAGAAUCUUCUAUUAAGUUUCUGUUUGAGGAACAUACUUGAUUUGCAUUUUAAAUGUAUCUGUUUGUUAAUUCAUUGUCGUUUUGUGUUGAUUCGUGUUUUAACAGAAUGGGAGAAUUAGUUCCUUGGAUUUUCAUAAAUCAUCGAGUUAUUUGAUGAUGGCUAGUGAUGAUGAAUCUAUACGGCUGUACGAUGUCUCUGCUGCCACGUAAGUUGAUCCUCUGUUUCUUAGGAUUUUAUGUUGUCUAUUGGGAAGUGCUUUUAACUAAGAAAUGGCUUUUGAAUAAGUAUAAAAAGCUGGUUUCAAUCUUGCAAUGUUUGUUUGAAAUUGCUGGAAUAAUAAAGUGUCUUUUGAAAUCAAAGGAACCCUUGAAGUGUUUUUCUAGGGAAGUGCUUGAUAUCUGCUUUCAUGGAUAGAACUUUUUGGAUUAGGAAACCACUUGUAGUGCUGUUUGAAGUAGUGCUUCAUAUAUGUUUGAAAGUGAUUUUACUCGAGGGUACUUUCCAUUAAAGCACUGCUGAACGUAUCCUCUGCGUGUUUGAUGAGCUCAUGAAAGCUACUGUCUUUCUAAGAUGGGGAAAAAUGCUUUUUUGAUGAAACAGAAAAAAAAAAAAAAAAAAAAAAAGGAGAACCUUGGAGUGGUUUUCGGGGCAGUGCUUAAGGGAAAUGUAAUUGAUAUAUUUUUCAAGAACUUUUGUAAAAAGGCCUUUUCUUUUUCUUUUUUGUUUUGUUUGCAUAAGCUCUUUCUAUAAGAGCACUGCCAAAUGCACUCCAGUUGUCUUAGCUGAGCUCAUGAUAGUUGGUAUUGCAAUUGUUGCUGAGAGCCUUAAUUGAAAUUUCAGAUGUUUGAAGACAAUUAACAGCAAAAAAUAUGGAAUAUUUGUGUUUUGUAUGUUGGUGAAUUACUUUACUAGGCACUUAUUUGGUACGUUCAUUUAUUCAGAAUCUCUACGGCUUCUUUCCUCGCACUAUAACAAGUACUUGCGUUACUUCAACGGUCAUCAUAACAGGUUUGUAAUUCACUUAUUCUUGUAAAUAUUUCGUAAUUAUUAUUAUCUGUAUAUAUGUUUUACUGCUUCUAGGGUUGUUUCACUUAGUCUGUGCUCCUCCAAAGAUUGCUUUAUCUCUGGUUCUCUUGGUCAAUCUGUUCUGCUCUGGGAUCAACGGGCUGAGAAAUGCUAGGUGGAUAUCAUGCCAUCCACCAUUUUCAAUUGUAUAUAUGAUCUCUGUUGGCAAAUACGGGCCUUUUGCAUGUUCAAGGAAGGCCUGCUACAGCAUAUGAUGAUCAAGGGCUUGUCUUUGCAGUUGCCUUUGGAGGAUACAUAAGAAUGUUUGAUGCUCGUAAGUAGGAGAAGGUUAAAAUUAAUAUUUAAGAACAUCUUGGAAGUUUAUAUGUCGUACUUUUAUCAUGCACUAAUUUGGUUAAAUUUGGAUACAUCUUCUCUGAUGGUGUAGAUGUAUCAGAUUCUGAUGCUGUAAAGUUCAGCAAUGAUAGGAGACUUAUGCUUCCGACCUCUAUGGAAGGACAUAUUCAUGUGCUUGACUCAUUCCAAGGCACACUUGUGAGUUGACUUUUUCUUUCUUCAUCUCCCAAAUGUAACAUAUCGUACAUAUAUACCCCUCUAUACACUGGAAUCUCUGUUAAUGAGCUUUUGUUUACUCUUGUUUUUAUUUAUCCACUUAUGAUGCCAAGCCAGUUUCUCGCAAUUCCACAUUGGAGGCAUCUUUCAGCCCGGUAGAGUUUCUCCUUUGAGUUCUUAGGGCACAGUGACUUGGAUAUUUUGUUAAUAUUUGCUUUUGGCUGUUUUGAUAUUUUAUAUUAAAGUUCUUGCACUUGUGCUGUAUAUAAUUCUCAAAUUUGUUACCACCUUGUUGGUAUAUUGAAAUACACGACUUGAAAUGUUGGGCAUCAAGCUUGUUUCCGCAGAAUUCUUUGAAAUAAAUUCAUUUUCUCUUCUUCAUUGACUUGGUUUGAAACCCACUCCCAUCCAUGCAAAUCCAAAUGCAUACGUAUUUUCAUCUGGUUGUGCUUAUUAAUAAAAAUAAAUCAAUGAAAUGCUCAAAUAGCAAGUGCACCCACACAUGUGGAAGCAGCCUGGUGCGGCCAAGCACCUCUCAUUCGUUUUAUGUGAUACAAUUGGUUUGUUGCACUCUUUGUGCUAAUUUUACUUUCUCGAUUUUGGAAGGUUCUGAUGAUGGUAGUGGAUAUGCUUGGAGUGUAGGGAGCGGGAAAGGGGUAUGAUAAGCAAAAUUCCUUGAUUCUCAUGCCUUUUGAAUGCUUAGAAUUCAAAGGGAUGUUAUUUCCCUUACACUGACCCCAGUCAUAGCAUUCAUUGUCUUCUAGCCAAACCAACAAUGCUUUUGAAUCUACAUUUGAGCAUUUACCUUAAGCACCAGUUUGCAUAAUGAGUUCUGUAUCCAAAGACUAUAUUCUUUGGAUGUUGGUAUUGUUAUUAUAUAAACAUUGUUUGGUUUUGUUUAUUUUUCUUGUCAGGGUUGUUAGUUGGAUGAGUUUUCAUACAGAGCCUCCUGUCAUAAAAUGGGCCCCUGGAAGUCUCAUGUUUGUUACGGGGUAAUCUGAGCUAUCAUUUUGGAAUCCUAAUGUGUCUAAACUAGGAGCUUACGAUGGGAGGAAGUAAAGUUUCUAACACUCAGCACCCUUAAGUAUCUGAAUAUUGAUGUCUAUCUAUUGCUGGGAGGGGAACUUGUUUGUAAGGAGAUGUUCAAUUUCCUAUAGUAGUAUGUAAAUGCAUCUGACUUACCUGCUAGUAACCUUUCCUAACAAGUUCUGAAGAAACAACAGUAGAUCUGGUAUCAGUACUUUAUUCAGAAGAGCAUUUCUUCUUACAUGCACAGCUAAGAGUACAUGAAUUGAGCUACUGAAGCCCUUCCUGACCAACCUGGCUAAGGCUCCUUUCAGUUUGUCCUCUUCAUGGUUCUUUGGCAGGCAACAGCGUAAGCAAUUACCUGGACUAUGAGGCCUUUUGUAGCGGGGUGGGCACUGCCUAGGCAGUUUUUGAAAAAACUAGGAGCUUUAUUUGUCAUUGACAUUUGUAGCACGAUUAGUUAUUACCUGGAUUAAGUUGUAUAUAUUACAUCGUAUACCUAAUCUGACAAAUAACAGGUUGCAAUCCAAGUUUUGUUGAUCAUGAAGGGUUUGAGCAUGAUAGUCCAUUUAGGUCAUUAGGUCUCCCUCGAAUUGCCACGUACACACUUCAAUCCUCUCAACGAGCGUCCCCGCAACGUCACACUCCACAAUAAUCUGAAAUAAUUUAAAACAAUUAUAUACUUCUGGCUGCUCUUAUCUCCCUUCUCACCAACCGAGUCACUGGUUGGUUACAUUUUACUAACACCGCCGAAUGAGAGAUCAUAAUCCCUAUUACGUGUCCACCCUAACUGAUCACAACAUUGUCAUUUUUUAUCUAGCGUUAGCAACGCGUUGUUCAGUUGUCAUAGCUUCGAAACCGCGUUAUUUGUUUAUACACUACAUUUUUGGACUCAAGGCACAAAAGGGAUAAUAAACAAUUGUUAUAAACAAUUGUUAUAUAGUCUGCAAGGUCCAUUCCAAUUGUGUUUGUGUAUAUAUAUUUUAGCUUUCUCUCCUACACCCAGGCUUUAUGCCUCUCGUGCCUCAGUUUGAUGUGAAGAAAUGGUCCAUCAAGGCCAUUGGUUAUAUAGUCAGCAAUAGCAAUAUUGCCUUUCUUCAACCACAGCAAUGUUUAUUGGGUACGCAGGAUCAAUUAUCUUCUUAGUAAUUAACAUAAUAAUAUAUUAUGUUUGUAAAUGUGUAAAUAAAUUUUAUUCAAUAUUUAUAGUUUUACAACAAUUUAAUAUUAAAAUUUACCAAACAUAUACAAUUGUUUUUAUAACUCACAGCUCCUUUAAAAAUAAGUUUUUGCAAACGUUUAAUUAAUUUUUUUAAAUUGAUUAUUUUUAUAGCACAGCUAACAUCAAUUAUUUUAAAAGCUACAGUAUUACCAAAUUGACUCCUUACUCUUUUUAUUAAAAUUAUUAUUUAAAAGUUCUAAUUGCAAUAUGUUACCAACUUUUAUUUCACAUCUAUAAUUUUUUUUUCACAACAGCUAUAACUUAAACGUCGCAUCAUCUUAAUACCAAAUAGGGCUAUAGUUAUUUGGGACCUUUUUUUUUUCCCCCCCUUUUCCCUCUUCUUUAGCAACCUACAAAAAACACUAGAAAUAAAACAGAAAAAUUGAGUAUGAAAUUAAGCAUUAGUUAAGUAUGAAGUUGGGUGAGUCGAGUAUAAAAUUAAGUACUUUUCUAUAUGAUUUUAAAUAAAGGGUUUUUUAAUAUUUUGCUUUGUGAUUUUGGAUAUAUUUCUACAAUACCAGUAAACUAUGUAAUAAGCAUAUAUUUGUUGUUUUGUUGUGAAUGGGACAUAUCUAGCGCCAUUUGCUCUAGGGAUGGCAAUGGGGCAGAUAUGGGUUGGAUCUACUUUGCUCCAAAUUCAAAUCCAUAAUAAAAAUCAAGAUCCGUAUCUACUCCAGAUCUGUCAUGAAUCCAUAUUUUUUGCUCCAUAUCCAGAUCCAAAAAAGAAAUAAAUAUCUAUAUCUACUCCAAAUCUUAAAAAAAAUUAAAAUCCAAAUCUGUUCUACAUCUGUCAUGAAUUCUAAAACUCAGUAAUAAAAAAUUAAUAAUUUUUUAGAAUGAAAAUUGAAGGCUUAAAUGUAUUGAUAAAAAAUAAAUUAUAUAAUUUUUCUCAAAAAUAUAAUAAAUAUUGUAGCUUAUACUUUUAUCUCAAAACAAUAAAUAAGAAAGAUAAUAAAAUAUCAUUCAAAAGUAAUUGUAGAAGUAAGAUCAAUCUAAUAUUCUAUUGUCUCCUUCAUCAUUCUAAUAUCCACGACACACCUACCAUCAUUUCUACAACAUUAAAUAAUGACAUAUAAAUUAAAUAUGAUUUAUAUUCAGUCCUUUAUUAUUUUUAUUAUGAUCAUAUUUGACUAAAUAUAUGAAUAACUAUAUUUUUUAAAAAUUAUUUGGCUUGCAAUUUGAAUAUUUAGGCUUGGCUGACCUUUAUAUUUACAAAACUAACCUUUAAGUUUUAAGAGUUUAAAUGCAUGGUAAAUACCACUAAUAUGUUAUGAAUAAAAUUUAUUAUUAUUAUAAUUCCAUAAUUGUUAAGAAACUUUUAAAAUAAAAUAAAAUUAAAAGAUGAGUGAAUAUGAAUGUGGAUUUAGAUAUUAAGAUAGAUCCAGACCUGCUCCAGAUCCGUCUUAGAUCCGCACAUCGAUAUUCAAAUUCGAUCCAAAUUCAUUUUAAACUGACCCAAAUCCGAUCCGAUUGGAUUUGGAUCACGUGGAUCUUGGGUCAAAUCCAAUCCAUUGCCAUCCCCAAUUUGCUCCCGUGACUGAUCUUUAUAACAGAUCCAAUUACCCUCAUUAUAGUCUUGAUCGAAAGCUAACAUAGCACAAUUCUGAUAUGUAAUGUGAGUGAUGGGAGAGUCACAAAUUAUUGUAUAAAUUUAUUUUAUCUAAAUUAAUUAGUAUAAAUUGAUAGAAAUAUAAAAUAAUAAAAAUAUAAAUCACGUAGACCAAGGUGUAUUUAAUAUAACUAAUAAAAUUUUACUCGAUCAGUUUAUAUAAGAAUUUGUAAUUUUAUUAUUACUCAUGGUACUUGAACAGUGGCUGAUUGGUCAGCUAGUGGUAUAAGUGGCAACGACCAAACUGUUGAGUCUCCACGUGGGUUUCAAAAUGAGUCAAGAGUCAAGAAAUUAGCUAUCAAGUUAUGAAAAAUAUUUGUAAACAUGUCUUUGAGAUGAUACAUUGUCAUAAUCAACAUCAUAUCCUAAUUGACAAAGAAGGGUUGCAAGGGAAACUAAGCAUGUGCCUUCAUUUUCACUUGAAAUAAAGCGCGAGGGAAAGAUCUCAUGUUAUCACAUGAUGCCGUGUGAUCACCUAGAAGCCCUUCCACACAUAUUUCUUCUUAAAUUGUCUUCUUCUAAUUUCUUGGGCCACCGCGAAACCACAAUGUCAAUACAAGGAUGAGCGAGUGUUGUUCAGCUCGCAGCAUUUGGAGCCGGAGCUCAGCUUCCCUUAUUUGAUGGUCGUUUGGUAGGCGUCGCCAAAGGGCAAAGAGGAUCCUCUGGCGUUCGUGGAGUUGGUCCUCAAUGCGAUUGAUUUGUUCUCCAAGUUGAGCAAGUCUUUGUACCAUAGCCAUAAAAUUAUUUACUUUGGACCGAUGCAAUUCUCUUCUAAAAUUUUCAGGGAACACUUUUCAUCUGCACCCAAAUGUUUCAUCAUAAUUUUAUUGUAUACACACUUGCUUCAACAGCUAUCACGGCUCACUCUUUUUGUUAAAUAUUGUUGUUGCCAUUAAUUUUGACAUCUUUGACGUUAAAAGACAACUUUACCCUUAUUUAUAUUUUUUAAUGCAAAAUUGCCAAAAAAACCACAACACCAAUUUCUAAUUCCAAUUGACUUGUGGGGAUAUUAAAAUUUAAUUUUGGCAUCUUUGACAUUAAAGAGAUAAUUUUACCCUUAUUUAUAUUUUUUAAUGCAAAAUUACCAAAAAAACCACAACACGAGUUUCCAAUUCUAAUUCACUUGUGUGGAUAUUAAAAUUUAUUAAAGGUUAGAAAAAAAGUAAAAAUGUUUUGUUCAAAAUAUCCCCUUUGCCAUCAUCCAUAAACGUCCAUUCUUCAUAACAAUCUAGUAAACUUGGAAAAAGCAAGAUCCCAGUCAAUCAACCAGCCAAAAUUCUUCAUAAAGUUUAGCUUUUCUUAAAAAAUUUUAAAUCUUGAGUUAAAAAUUUUAAUUCUUGAGACCCUAAAUUAAUUGAUAAUGAAAGUCACAUGUUUCUAUAACAAAAAUCUUCAAGAAUAACAGUACAAUGAAAAUCUUCAAGUAAAUAAAAAUCUAUAUUCAUAAUAUUUAUGAAUAAAUUGUAAAUAAUAUAGAGUGGUUUAUAAUUUUAUAGUGUAUUCACUAAACAAGAAUCGAAAUUAUUUGGAAACAUAACGAGUUAGAAUCAGAAUAUAUAGAAUCAAAAUAAGAAAUUGGAAUCAGAAUAAUUUAUUUACUUGAACUGCAGGAAUCGUAAUUAGAAUGAGUCAUUUACAUGUUUACUUUGUCUUAAAAUCAAAAUUGGAAUGAGUUAAAUUGUAACAAAUUACUAUAAAAUCCAUAAUUAAUUUUUAUCAUAAUAAUUAAUUUUUAUUUUAAUUAUUGUGAUUAUUAUUAUUAUUAAUAAAUUAAUUAUUAACAAUAAUUAUUGUUAAUUAUUAUUAUUAUUAAAAAGUUAACUAAGAAUUUAUUAUUAAUUAUUGUUAAUAGAUUAAUUAAUUAUAAUACUUUUUAUUCUUGUUAUUAAUAAUAAUAAUAAUAAUAAUCCAUUUACAAUUUAUAAUUAUAUUUAUAAUUAAGUGGAAAUUAAAGUGGUAGGGUCUCAACCAAAAUGUGGCACGAACACAUUUAUCCAACAGCAAGAUUUUUCGAUUGCCAUCCCCACUAAUUUGGUGUAAUGACUAAGAGUUAAUUGAAAAAUAUAUAGUUUAAUUUUACAUUUAAUUUUUUUUCUUUGUUGUAUUAAGAAUUAAUUGAAAAAUUAUUAUAUUCCCUUAAUUUUACCAGAAUCCCGUUGACUUAGACCCUAGUCUCUUGAUUAAAGCGUUUUCAAGUUCAAAGAUUCAGAUAACUCACUCGAUUAUAGGGCGUCUGCACCUUACGCUCGCGUUUGUUGUGAUGCCAGUAGCUGCUGUGACUGUGGCUGUCGUUGUCGAUUGUACUUGAAUUUUGCAGGAGAGCUUAAUAUCUUGUUUAGUAAUUAAGUGUUGUAUCAUUUAUUGUUAAAAAAUUAUAUUAUAAAAUAAAAAUUAAUAAUAAGUAAUAAAUAUGAUUUUUAAAAAUUAAUUUUCAUUAUAUAUUGUCAUUAAAUAAAUAUAAAAUUAAUUUAAUUUAACUGUAAAAUUAUAAUAAUUAAUAUUUAUUGAAUACUUUAGUAUUAUAACUUUUAAAAUUAUAAUGGACUAACUUCAAUCCCAAAAGAACCUGAAAUGAUUGUGGAGAUCGGGAUUUUCAAUUUCCUUUCUUUUUGGAACUAGUUUGGGAUUGUCCAAACACGCUAUGGUAUGCGUUUGACAUGGAGAAGGGGGGACAAAUCAAUUUUGUUUACUGCAAAACCCUAAAAAUAAUUAGUCAACUUGCGUAUACCCCUUUUGGACCCAUUUUGUCAGGAAAAAGAAAUUGUGGACCAUUUGCACUCUAAAUUUAACUUUAGAUACUGGUAUUUUAAUAAAUUUUUAUAUUAUUAAAUUAACCUUAAUAUAAGGAUCCAGCUACGGUACACAUGUUGUAUGGUAUCCCGCAUUUUGUUCAUAUAUGACUUUGCCUUUAAAUGUAACAUAAAACUUGCAUCAAUUGCAUAGAUGUAUUCUCUUUGGUUAUUAAUAUUGACACUCCUAUUGUUUUUCAAAAAAAUAAAAUGGUGAAAGGUUUGACACAUAAUUUUAGAUUAUUUUUAAAUUUUUUAUUUUUAUCAAUUGAUCUACUUUAUUAUUAAAAUUAAUGACAGUAUAAGAGCAAUAACUUGAAAAAACUAAAACAAAAGGAAUUACAUGGUCACCGUCUGGAACUGGAAAUGUUUUGAGUUUACUUAUCCUUUUGGUUCGCACCGCCCACGAAGCUUCAUAUUCCUACGAUAUGUCUUUUUUUUUUAAAAAUAAUAAUUUAUAAUCUGACAGCUGGAACAAAGUUUCGACUUUCGAGUGGGCAAAACGCAAAAACUACCACGACUACUUGAACAACUUCGUUACAUUUAGACAUUUAUCAUUUAAUCAGAGUUUGAUGAGCAGCGUUGAAGGAAAGUUUAUAGAAAUAACCCUUACUUUUUUUCUAUUUUCGAAUAGCAAAUAAAAUUUCCCUUUUUCAGUUAAACAGUUUCAAGUCUAGUAUUUACUGUUUGAAGGAGAAAAUUAUGGUGUAACGGUGGUACCGUGCUACUGUUGUACUCACCCGUUGGAUCUCAAUGAAUCCACUCAUUCAAGUGGAUUCAACGGCUGAAUGCAACAGUGGCACGAUACCACUGUUGCACCGUAGCCGGACCUCUAUUUCAAUUACACAAACAACAUGUAACUGUUUUAUAUAUACCUUUUUCUAGCGGGUUCAAAAAGUUUCAACCUUAUGGAAUGGCACAAUCUUUGUAUAUUAUUAUUUUAAUUAAUAACAAGAUUACUGAUCCUGUGUGCCCGGUAAACACUACUGUGAUUGAGGAAAAAGCGGUAUUGCUAUUGCUGUUUCUUACCAAAGGCCUUGAUAAAUAAACCAUUUCUUCACAUCAAACUAAGGCACAAGAGGUAUAAAGCCUAGGUGUAGGAGAGAAAGCUACAACAUAUAUGACACAAAAUCAAUUUGGAUGGACCUUGCUAAUCACGUCUGUGAAUGAAGAAGAUUCACCUCGAUGCCAUAGGAGAGCAAAUUAUUAGGGGGCAGGAUGGACAUGUCACAUGGUUAAGGGGGUCUCUAAAUCCCGAAGGGUACAAAAACCUAUGCUUUGAAGCUCACCUCACUAUCUAAAAUCAAAUAUGACUUGAAUGCGAAAUUACGUGUGCGGUAAGUUCUUAUUUGGGAAACUGUGUUGUGCGUCCCACAAACUCCAAAUGGGAGCUUGCCGCAUGUUCAAUCGUGCUUAUAGAGUGUGUCCGCAUGCAUCUAAUUGAGAUCUUAUUUACAGUAUAAUACACUUCUAAAAAUUUAGAUAGCAAUAUAAAACUUUACAACUAUAAUAUUCAUUGAUAAUAAAUUUAUUUAUUAUGAUUGUUCUCGUUGAAAACUCCUCAAUGGAAUUUUAUGAGUCGAAAAUAACGUAUGAUAGUUUAACUACCAAUAUAAGAAAAAAUAUAUUUUUCAAUAUACAAAACUAGGUUAUUGCUUAAUUUGCUUUUAAAAUCUUUUAAUAAUAACAAAAAUAUUCAUAUAUUGCAACACAUAGAGCAAACAUGAAUGCAUUAUAAAAUUAUAGAUUUUAAAACUAGACAAAAGAUUAAUCAAAAAAUGAAAAAUUAGAAUUAUGUAGACUUACAACUUAUGGGUCAUUGUUGAAAGACUAAACAAUUGAUUUUGCUCGAAUAGAAAACAAAAAAAAUAUUAAAGACUAGUCCAUUAACCAUUAUACUAACAUUUUUUAUGAUUGUUUUUUAUUUUAAUAUUUGUUCUCGUGUCUUUAAUUGAAUUUCAUGAAAUGUUAAUUGCUAAUUAAAUUAUUUAGAAUUAGACAUUUAAACGAGGGAUAAUAUGAAAUAUUUUAAAAUUACUAGAGUCACUUUUAAAUUUUACAAUGCAGCUGGGGCAUUUUUCAUAAAUAACAAACAAAAUACAUUUUUUUCAUAUAAUCAUCAAAAAAAAUUUAAAAGCCAGCCAGGGCAUGUGCCUCAGCUGGUCCCAUGCUGAUUCCGCCCCUGUACGUAAGACACACGCAUAUUAUUUUACAAGGUACCACCAAUUUUUGUCUUUUGUGAUGUCAAAUUUCAUUUAACUCCUUAUCUUUUUUGAUUUACGGUUUAUUUAUAACAUUAUAUCCUUUGACAGGUAACUUUUUAAAAUGAAUUUUAUUUAUAAUUUAUUUAUAAGUUUAUAUACUUUGGCUGGUGAUCUGCUCAAAUGUAAUUUUAUUUUAUUUAAUAUUAUUUAUCUUUCUAAAAGAAUAAAUAUACAAUAAGCCUGUGACUAGAUAAUAUUAAAUAAUAUUUUGAAUAAAAUAAAAAUAUUAAAAAUUUAUUCUUUUAAAUAAAAUAAAUAAUAUUAAAAAAUAAUAUUUAUUUUUUAGGACUCACAAUUGCUUAUUCUAUUUUAUUUAAUAUUAUUUAAUUUUUAAAAAUAAAUAUAAUAAUAAGCUUGACUAAAUAAUAUUAAAUAAAAUAAUAUAAAUAUUAUUAAAAAUAAUAGUAAUUUUUUUAGACUCAUUACUGAUUAGUUCAUUUUAUUUAACAUUAUUUAGUUUCAUGAAAGAAUAAAUAUAAUAAUAAGCCUUUGACUAUAUAACGUUAAAUAAAAUCAAAUAAAUAAUAUUAAAAAAAUAUUUUUUUUAUAAAAUAAAUAAUAUUAAAUUUUUAUUCUUUUGAAUAAAUAAAUAUAUUUUUUAAGACUCACAACUGAUUAUUUAUUUUAUUUAAUAUUAUUUAGCUUUUUAAAGAAUAAAUAUAAUAAUAAGUCUAUAACUAAAUAACAUUAAAUAAAAAUUAAAUACUAUAAAUAAUAUUAAAUAAAAAUUAAUUAAUAUUAAAAAUUAUAUUUAUUUUUAAUGCUCACUACUGAUUAUUUUAUUUUAUUUAAAUAUUUAGUUUUUUGAAAGAUUAAAUACAACAAUAAGCCUGUAACUAAAUAAUAUUAAAUGAAAUGAGAAUAAAUAAUUUUAAAUAAUAUUUUUUAAUAAAUAAAUGAUAUUAAAAAUUAAUUUUUAAAAUAAAAAAAUUAAUAUUAAAAUAAAUUUAUUUUUUAAGACUCAAUUAUAAUUAAACAACAUAAAAUUUUAAACAAUUUGGACUUAUGUGCUAAAAGUUUUAAUUAUUUAGCUCUUUUGCAUUUUUGAUAAAUAGCAAGGAGCAUAAUGUUAAUAUUUAAAUAAACGAUUCACUACCCUUAAAUCUAUCUUUUCAUUGAAUCCAAUGAUCAAAAAUUAAAACCAAUGACCAAGAAUUGAAACUACAAAAAAAUAAAAUCAUAUGGUAUCUUACAACUGUUGUAAGAUAAUUGAGUCUUUUAAUUACACGUGUUAUUUGGAACUUGUUAAAUUGGUCCCUUGUGGGUCCUCGUGGACUCUAAAUUAGCCGUACACCUUUUAAAUAGAAAUAAGUGCAUUACAAUUUUUUUCUAUUUUACUUUAUUUUUGAAAUUUUUUGGAAAAAGUGAUGACUCAUGAUAAUAGAAGAAGAAGAAUAGUAGGAUACAUGUAAUAUCGGUUUAUACUUUAUAUCACUUUUUACUUCUUUCUUUGAUUUUUUUUAAAUUUUUUAUUAUACUUUUUUGUGUCUUUGGGGUCCAAAUAUAUUGUGUAUAAAUAAAUAACGUGGCUUCUGAGUUUAUGGCAAUUUACCAAGCGUUAAUAAUGCUUGAUGAAAAUGUUGCAAUCAGGUAGGGCGGACACAUAUAGAGAUUAUGAUCUCUUAAUCAGCGGUGUUCGUGAAAUGUAGCCAACUGCUAAUUCGGUCGGAGACGAGGGAUAUCUAGUGCAACCAGAAGUUCAUAAUUGUUUUAAAUCAUUUGAGAUUAUUGCGGAGUGCAACGUGUCGUUUGUUAAGAGAAUUAAAAUGAGUCAAAAGGUUUAAGAAAUAAGCUUUGGCUGCUUGGAAAAACCGCUUUCGAGCCUCCACAAAGUAUUGUAGGGCUUAAAUUCUUUUCAAUUAUGAAUAGUAAUUAAGUGAAGACAGUUUUCUUUUCAAUAAUUACCUAAUUAUAAAUUUAUCAGUAAAAAUUUCAUUUAAUAUGAAUUGUAAUAUAAGAAAAGAAAAAAAAAGUAUUCACUUAUGAUAAUAUUCUUAUUUGUAAACGUGUCCUGAGAAUUGAGAUGAUACAUGAUCGUCAAUGUCAUAUACUAAUUGAAAGAGUAGGUUUGCGAGGGCCUGCCGUGCUAAGCAUGGGUUUUCAUUUCCCUUAACCGCUUGAAAUGAAGCAUGAGGGAAAGAUCUUAUUCCACCUAUGUUUUAUUAUUAAUAAAUAAUUUUUUUUUUAUCUAUUAACCAAUAAUUAUCGGAGCGAGUUUUACUCAAGAGAACUUCAAUAAUAAAAAAUGUUUGAUCUCACUGAAAUGACAAGUUAUUUAAGGUUAUUGAAAAUCUAAACAAAAAUUACUUUUAGGAAAAUGCUAAACGAAGAGAAUGGCGUGAGAACGCAACGUGAUAAUAUUAAAUGUAUAGUAAAUGUCAACUUUUAGCAUUUUCUCUUUCUCACCACGAGUAGCUUUUGCACGACAGAAAAACAAAACAACGUUCAUCACAAAGCUAAUUUUUCUCUCACCCAACGUGAAAAUCACUUUGGCUCAUUUAUUCACCAACGACCACCGAAUAGAUCUAGAGUAGUAGCAAGUGAGGGAGAGGAGUAGUAGAUCUGGAGUACUAGCGAGCGAGAGAGAGGAGGAAGAGGAGGAGGAGUAGCGAGUGAGGGAGAUGAGUAAAUCUCAACAUUAUUUUUUUCUUUCAUACUAGCCUUUUAAGGUUAUAAAAUUCUUUUGUUUUUAUUAACAAGAAUGCUGAAAGCUGCUACUGAAAGAAACGACAUUACUGUAUGUCAUUUCUCUCGGCAUUCUUGGUAAUUAAUUUAUAUUUGUACCACUCUAUUAAUUUACAACUUUGCCAUUCAUAUAAAUAAAUUUAAAAAAAAAAAGUAAAAUCUUAGGUCCAGCCUGAAUGGGCUCACAUUUAGCACUACUCUUACUUUUAUGCUAUCGCAUGAUAUCGUGUAGGGACGGCAAAAUACAGGUUUGGUCUAAGCUUGGAAGGCCAAGCCCAUUUCACGAGAGGCACAACAGGCUAGACUGGUCAAGCCUAAUGUGAGCCCAUUCAGGCUCAAGCUGGACCUAAGAUUUUACUUUUUUUAUUUUUUUAAAUUUAUUUAUAUGAGUGGCAACGUUAUAAAUUAAUAGUGGUACAAAUGUAAAUAAAAUAGUUGAUUUUUUGUAAACUUUGCAUAAUGACAAUUUUGUAAAAUUUGGACAGGCUGUAGCUCAUCUCAGUCCACACAGCCUCACCACUAGGUAUAAACAUGGAGAACAAUUUAUAAAUCCACCAAGCUAAAUUAAAGUCAAACACUUGACAUUAAGAAAUUUCUAAUAAUCUUAGAAAUAAACUAGUCGAUAAUCACUUGAGAUCAUUUCCUCACCCCAUAAUCCAUCAAUUAACUGAGAAAUGACAACUCACCAAUUAGUUUUUCAUCAGAACUCAUAACACAGAACUUACCCAUUCACAUAAUAAAAACAUUGACAUUAAUGAGAGAGUAGCUUAAUCAAAUAAUAAUCCAUUAAUAAAAUGAAAAUUAACAACUUGUACCUUCAUAGAUGAUUCUUGUGCACUUGACUUUCUAAGUAAAGAACGUCACUAUUCUUUUCAAGAAGGCAGCCACCACAAAGCAUAGAAGCUUCUUCAUAUAAUAGUACAACAAUCAAAACCUGAAACAUACGCAUCAGUAUUAAUUUAUUAUAAUUUAGCAGCAGUAAAUAUUUUUUUUCAAAAGUUAUCUGCAGUAAAUAUAAGAAUAACAAAGAAUAAAAUCUUAGAUCAACAACAGAGAACCUAAACUCUACAACUUGCUUGAACUACUAUCAACAUCAUACCACAUAAUCAAAUAGACAAAAUAGUGUAAUAUAUAAUUUGUAUUGACCUCCAUACUAUCACGUAAAAAAUAUUGUAUUAAAAACAAAGGGUAAUUUUUAGGGACCUCCCCUGAGGUUUACCGUAUUGACACAUAGAGAGAAUGUAUCCACGUAAUUACAACCACCUCCCCUCCCGUUAGUAUCCGGUUAGUUUGACUGUUAGUUGACUGUUGAAAUUACUAAAUUACCCUUCCCGCCAAAAUUAUAAGUUAUAAAAUAAGAGAAGAGAACCGAUAAGUAAUAAACUUAACGCUAGAAUCACAAAAGCUAAAAAAAGACCAAAUUACCCAUCUAUGUGAUGUGAUUUCAUUUACAUUAUUUGUUAUUAAAAAAACAGAAAAAAUAAAUUAAAGCUGCCAUUAUUACCGUUGUAAGUAAACGGUAAUAUUUUGAGUAGUAGCAGCAACUAUAAAAGGCCUGGGCAAGUUAGCAAAUGACCAUAGCAGAAUUUCAUCUUCAUCUUCUUCUUACGAUUUUAAGUCAUCAUCCAUUCAACUCUUGAACAGAAGCACUCAUCAUCAUCAUUAAAAGCAUUCAUCAACUCAUCAAAGGAAGCAUUCAAUUCACGACAACAGAAGCAUUCAUCAUCAGCAUCAUCAGAAUCAUUCAUUUAGUUCAUUGACAAAAGCAUUUAUUCAUCAAUUUAAGCAUUCAUCCAACUCACCAACAGAAGCAUUCAACAUAAUCAAGAUCAAACACUAUCUCAACCACAUGGAUUCUGAAAGCUCAAACACAUCCAGCCGAUCAAAUACACAACCAAUUUAUGAGCCAACUUGGAGGAACUUUGUUAAUGGGAGGCUGAUUAAGUUUUCAAAUCGAAUAUGUAGAUGUCGUAUGAGAGCCAAGGUGAUGAUAUCUGAAUCGGAUGAGAAUCCUCACAAGCUUUAUUAUAGAUGCCCGAACAUAACAACAUGCGGAUACUUCAAAUGGUGGGUUCCAGCAAGGGAUGAUUUCAACAAUGGAGCUGUGUUUGAGGGGAAUUUAAGUGCUAUUGUGCAUCAUGAUACCCUAAAUGCUAUUCAAUCAAAUCUGAAAGAAGUGAAGACUAUUAUGAAGAAGCUGCAAAGGUCAGGAUUUGGUGAAGGUGUUGUGAAGAUGAUUAUGUACUUGAACCUAGUUAUGUUUGUGCUGAAUUUAAUUAUGCUUAAGAACUAAUAUGCCUAAGCUAUCCUAUGUUUGCAGAAUGCAGUGAAGUGUAAAAUAUAGUGAUUUUUCUGUGUAAUGUAUUAAUGGAUAAAAAAGAUAAUGCAUGUGACAAUAAUCUAUUAUACAAACUGAUAAUAUUUAGCAUAGUAAGCGAAUAACACAGCACAAGCUCCUGUCCAUAAUUCAGCAAGCACACACAAUAACAAUAAUUUAUAAUUACAAGCUCUUGUCCAUAAUUCAACAAGCACACACAAUAACACAGCACAAGCUCCUGUCCAUAAUUCAGCAAGCACACACAAUAACAAUAAUUCAUAAUUACAAGCUCCUGUCCAUAAUUCAACAAGCACACACAAUAACAAUAAUUCAUAAUUACAAGCUUCUGUCCAUAAUUCAGCAAGCACGCACAAUAACACAACACAAGCUCCUGUCCAUAAUUCAAUCCUUAAAUAGAAUUACAACUAGUAAAUCCCUGAGCAAAAGUAUAAUAACAAUUUCAAGCACAUAACAAGCUUUUGUUAAAACUAACACUAUGAAGCACACACAACAACUCCUAUCACACAGGACAGCCGGUAAAUCCCUGAGCAAAAGUAGAGAUACAAUACAAAUUCAUUCUCAAACUGACAGUAUCAAGCACAAUAAACACAUACAGCAAGUCUCACUUUGUAAUAUCAAGCACAAACAAAGCAAAUUCUAUUGUUUCAAGUGACAGUCGCAAGCACAACAAACACACAAAGUAAGAAACCACGGCAGUAACUAAGUAAUGAAACUACAUAAACUAAAAUCAAUAAAGAACUAUGUAAUAAAACUACAUAAACAUUACUUGUGACUAUAAAUUAUAAAUUCAAAUGCAUUCCAGCAACAAUAAAGUGUCACAUGUCAUUACUGUCGCUACAUUAAUUUUUUCACCAGCUACCACAGCCUCUAUCUCCAUGUAAACAUGACUGCAAGUUAUAAAUAAUAGCACAUGGUAAGCAAAUAACAGCAAAAUCGUAACUAGAAUUGUAUAUUUAUAUAAUAAGAAACAAAUGUAUAUUUAUAUAAAAUUAAUAUAUCAUAAGGGAUGUUAGCAGAUGAACUUUAGUUGACCCCAACCAAAUUAUUAAACUGCAGUUAUCAUUAAUGCAUGCUUGGGCAUUUACAUGCCUUUCGAAAGUUUGUUGCAGAUGGUGAUUAUUCGAUCAUGAGUUGAAACACUUAUAAAUCCAUAACUAAGUUCAUCUACUUGCCAGAAAUCAUUUUGAUUGAUUAGUAACUUAUAACAAGCUUAAUUAACACUAACAGGGGAUGUGGAUGCUCUUUAAUCUAUAUAUAAAUGGGCAACUCAAAGUUAAAAUUUCAUAAAAAAAUCCUCUCAAAUUUGUCGGCUGAAUUAAUUUCAACAAAGUGGUCACUCGUAAAAUUAGAGACGGCCUUAAAUUUACAGUGACAUGUGCAUGCAAAGAUCUUUUAAUCUUUCUUUGAGCUGGGCUUUUAAUCCAUUGAUUGAACAUGGAAUCAUCGUCAUGCUUUGCAGACAACUUUACAAUUUCUUUUUCUUUAUUAUUUUUUUGAGUCUCAGGGUUGGUGGAAAUUGAAACGAAAAACCCAUUUUCAUUUUUAUUAACGCAAAAUCGUCCCACUCAUCUAUUGCAUCUGUUGCAUCUGAUUUAUAUCUUUAAAUUGUAAUAAAUGAGGAUUACCUCUUUUUCGCACCAAUUCCAGUUGCGAUUGAAGGCGUUCGUCGCCGGUACUUAGUUCGUUGCGCACUUGCGCCACCACCAGAGCUCAUCUCGUUACCUCUUUUUUGCACCAAAUCCUUAAUGAAGCUCUCCUUCACAGCUACAUAAAGAUGAAGAUGUUGUUCGGUGUUGUUUACGUGAAAGAGGAGGCUAAGUGUAACAUUCAUUUCGUGAAAAUUUUUAUUUGCUUUUGUCCACUGGUUAUUGCAGAGCACUGGUUAAUGGAGUAAACUCUUACAAUUUUCUCAGGCGUUCAUCCUCACAAAGCUGCACUUUUGAAUUCUUUUGAAUUUUAAAAGGCAAUUUUACAUAUUUACCCUCACAUACUGAUGCCAUACGUAACCGGAUACUAACGGGAGGGGAGGUGGUUGUAAUUAUGUGGAUAUAUUCUCUCUAUAUGUCAAUACGGUAAACCUUAGGGGAGGUCCCUAAAAAUUACCCUAAAAACAAAUUAUAAAUUGUUUAGUGAUCACAAUGGAUCCUGGAAAUGACAACAACUACAUUAUUAUAAUGAGUUUGACAUGUCAUUGUACAUGGAUUCGUUAUGAUGAAUCAUGAAACACCGUUGAGUAGUUAAUUCAGCCACUUUUCACCUAUAAAUUCGAUGGCAUACUUUGAAUACACAACAUGGUUAUAAAUAAAAAUUUAGAGAAUUUUUGUGGGAAAGAAUAAUUUUAUUGACAAAAGAUUAAGUACAAAAUUAUAACAUCUCCAUUUUUAAUAUAGCUGACAUAAGUUAUUUGAGUUAAAAAAAAAAAAAAGAGGGAACUUAGAUACGCCAUAUUAAAUAGGGCAGUAAUAAAAAAAAAUCUAAUUAACAAAAAUUAUUUGAGCAAAUGACAAAUAUUCGCUAAGAAACUCUUUUUCAUUUUUUUCCCAAAUAAUAAUCAAUGUUUUUUUCCACUACGCAUUGAAAGAGCUCGCAUCGACAUCAAUCAUGAACCAGUCGUGGCCUAUAUUGCCUGCAUUAUGAAUACCACCUAUGACCUUUAGAGCCUAACCGUUUAUCUCAGUCUAUUUUUAAUACUCAGUCACAGGUCCAGACCAUUCAAGUUCAGGACAUGACCCUACUAGUCCCAUUAUAUAUCUAUUUAAAUUUCUUUUUUUUAGAAUGUCUAUUUAGAUUUCUUAAAUUUAAAAAGCAAAUCAACAUCUAGCCCUUAAAAAAAAAAAUCUAAAAUCAACAAAGCUAUUAUUUUGAAGAUAUUUUGAAUUCCAAUUCCCAAUUAAAAUCAUGAAUAUAUCAGCUAUAUCAUAGCAUCAGCAUAACUAGUAAGUGGUGACAUCAAAUUUUCAAAUAUUUGGAACUGGAAGCAAAUAUCUAGUUAAUGAUUAAAGUAGCUGACGAAUAAAACCUCUUGUAUUAUCAUAGAGGCUGCCCCAAUAGCUUGCAAUAACUAUGGAUGGUGCAGUAAAGUUUCAGGAUAGAUGAAUAAACUAAAAAGCAAAAGAGAAAUAUCAGUUGCAGCAAGAACUACGUCAUCUCCACCUCGAUUAUUAUUCAAAUAUUAACACCAAAUGGCACUGAACAGCACAAGAGGAAGCAUCAUCCAUAUUUUAAAUGUAUCUGAAUAGCAUAAAUAUGAAAAUCAUUGCAGAAAGUAAAAGAAAAGAAAAAAGUAAAGAGAAAUUUAUCUCACAGCAUUCCUAUUAUUAAAAAUGUGCUCCGAGAUAUAACUUCAUGCACAUUCAGAAGUUCUCAGGCCAAAGAACAUUAUAGCAACUACAAAAACUCAUGAGCCGGCAGGUCUUGUCCCUGUACAAGGUGAAACAACUAAAAUUAUGCUUUUAAGAACUUUGCAAUAACUAAAAUUAUUACUCAAUACAUAUAGAAAACUUGGGCUCUGGAUACCUAUUUUCCCAAAUCUUGGGGUCUGUUCUUUUCUCCUAAUCAGUGAGGUGCAUGUAAAAUAUAUAUACACAGAGAGAUAGAGAGAGAGAGAGAUUAAUUAGUAUACAUUCCAUUGGUAGAGUUUCUAGCUUAGAAUUUAUAUCACAGGAAUUGCAUAUUGAAUUGAAUACAUAUGAGUGUGUAUUUUUAUUGCGGAGUCUAAUGAUAGAAAGCAGGCUUCAUUCAUUUUCAACAACAAGCAUUGCAAAGUUCAAAAUUUAUAUCACGGUUCAAUCAAUAGGGGAAUUCAUUUCCCAUCAAAACAUAGCAUGUGACAAGAAUGAACUCUAUAUAUAUGUAUAUGUGUGUGUGUGUAUAUAUAUAUAUAUAUAUGUAUGUAUAUAUGAACACAGGAAGAAAAUUAUUUCUAUCUGAAAAUCGAGAUCACUCAACCAAACAAUGGUACCUUCCAAUCUACCUAGUGUAUGUAUAUAGGCAUCCACUGAUUGAUACUUUGAAUUUAAUUAAUAAAUCAACUUCAGGUGUCAUGUUUCCACAUUAAAUAGAGAGAAUAACAAUUAACUAGAUAUGACAGAACUGGUUAAAAAUUUGCUCAAAAUAUACUAAAAAGAUCAAAUUUUAUUAUUUUUUACCUGCUUUCAUGUCUCUCCAAUGUCAGAUCAUGUCCUCAAGCAACUCUUUCGGCUUUCUUCGCCCAUUUUUCUUCUUUUUACAGCAUGAAGCUAAUACAAAGCCAAAUGAAAAAGUAGAGUAGUCAUUUCAAAUUCAAUUUAAUUGUCAAUUGAAAAGUUCAAUUGUUACCUUCGUCAACUGUAGAAUCAAUAGUUAAUGAAAUAUACAAUGAGAAGAGUAAAUAUUAAUAACGCACCAAUAUUACAAAUCAAUAGCUAAGGAUCAAGUGAAAUUUCACCUGCAAAUUAGGACAGCCGAGGAAGCAUCCAUAAACAUCGGAAUAAUUAUAUCACUGAAAUUUCAUUAGAGUAAAUUAGGACAGCAGAGAAAAAAAUAAACAAAGCAAUUUGCAAAGGACAAUUUUUCACCUAAUUUUUGUUAAAAAUAUCAAAAACUAAAUUGAAUUUUUUGGAGAGUAAUCAAGUUAUUUAUUUAAAAUACAUUUUUAAAUAUUUUUUUUAGAGUUUUGAACAAGACAAUUUUUUGAUAAUUGAAAUCAAGUACCAAAAUAUUUUUUAUACUGUUUUAAUUUCUCACUAAGAGUUAACUACGUAUUUUUUUUAGCACUGAUAUAUUAAAUAUUAUCAUUAAUAUACUUAUAUUUAUUUAAAAAAAAUCAAAACGCUAUUUCCUUAAUAUCAUUUAUGCAACAAAAUCAUCAAGGGAGCUUCUGUCUUUGUACACUAAAAAAUUAUAUAUAGUUAAUUCACUUGGUCAAAUAUCCAAAUAGUUGAAGUUAGUUUUUAUUGUUUAUUUGGUAAUGAAAUGGGUGCUAAGUGAGGUCUGGUAAAGCCUGAAGGAAUAAAUAGUGAUUUUAGAUUCAUGUGGGUGCUUUGAAUUAAUCAUUUUGUCAAGUUUCGCACCACCGACCCCAUUAAUUUCUAUCCGUUGCAUUUCAGUCAACAAAGCCAACGAAUAAUAGCUGCGGGCUGUCACAAUGCCUGUCAGUUACAGUGUUAUAUAACUUAGCCGCGGCCUUAGUUAGACUCAGUUCGAGCUCGUCUAAAUUUGGAGGGGCUUUUGGAGGGUUUGGGCCUGCUAUCAAUAGCUAAGGCUUGACCUGAGCUUGAAAAAGCCUAUCCCAGACUCUUAAUUUGCUAUCAUAGUUAGAAAGAAAUCUUUUGUAUGUCGAAAGAUUGGGUCCAGUUAUGUUACAACAGUGGUACGGUAUCACUGUUACUUUCAGUCAUUAGAUCUUAUUAAUACAACUGUACAAUUAUAGAUCUAAUGGCUAAAAGCAGCAGUUGUACCGUACCACUGUUGCAACAUAGUUUUGGCCUAAAAGAUUACACAAGUGGUGGAUUUUUGUUUCUUGACUAAUGUCUUUUUUGACCAUUUUCGUAUUUUGGUACAACUCAGAAGCGUGGCGCUUUACUCAGAUACUUAUCAUUGUUUUUUAUUCUUUUAUUUUGUCUAAGUUAUUACUGUUCAAUAUUCUCACUGUAAGGUUGACUUCAAGGGAUGAAAUCGUUUAGAUUAAAAAAAAAUAAAGGAAAUUCAUUCUCUUCAAUUUUUUUUUAUUUGUACUAAUGUUACAAAUAAAAUAUUAAAUAAUUAUUGAAACUAGUCUAUAUUAACUCAUAUUCGAGAAAUGUCUAUCUACUUACAUUUUGUAAGGAAAAAGAUUCUCUCCACUUAAUUGAAGAAACAAUUCACCACGGAUGCAAUAAUUAUUUCUUUAAUUUAAUGUAUUUUUCGAGCGUCUGGCUACCUUAUUCCUUUGUGCUUCAGUGGGAUGCAAUAACUUUUGCUGAUAGCCUGAUAGGCCCUACAAAUCAUAAUUUAGCAUAGAGAAAUGUUGUUACAUGUAGGGAUGAUAAAAAAGCUCGGGCCAGCCUUGUUCAUUUCCGUGGGCUUUUGCUGAAAUUUCCCACGUGAGGGCUUGGACAAGAGUUAAAGGAAAAAAACCUGGACUAGGUCUAACCCCUCUAUUUAAAAAAUAAUAAUAAUUUUAUAAAUUAAAAUAAAAAAUGGAAAAAUGAAAAAAGAAGGCUUAAAUCCCAAAUUCAUUUAUCAAUAACGAUAAACAAAAACUUAAAAUUAUAAUACUAAACUCUUUUUUAAGUGUUAAUUAAUUAAGAGAGUACUUGAAUUAGAAAAUUAAGUAUUAGAAAAUUAAAUCUCUAAAUUUUUAUUUGCUUUAUUUAAUAUUUUAUUUUGAAAUAUUUAUUUUUUUAAAUUCAUUGUUGAUUAUAACAAUUUGAUGAUUAUUAACUCAUUUUAAGUUUACAACAAUUUAAAAAUUUUGAAAAAAAAGUGAAAGCCCAAGCUCGGCCCAGCUCCACAUGGGCUCGGCCCUUACAUUUCCACUCUAAUGGCUUUGGGCUUGGGCUUGAAAAAACAGAACAUGCUCACAUUUUGCUAUCCUUGCCUGCAUGUAAGUUCAAAGUUGCAAAUUGAUGAAGUGGAAAUAUAGAAGAUUGAUAGAUUAGAAACUAAGUUUCUGAAUAAUGAAAUUUUAUUAGAAAAGUCUGAAUGAAUAAAACGAUAGCUUACCCCUUUUCUACUAAUCCCAAACAUCGAGAAUUUAUCAAAAUAGUAAAAUUUAAAAUAUUAUUUUAUAAUAAAAUUCUCCUAAUCUAAAUAAGAAAAACAAAACAAACGACAUCUAAUUUUGAUAUUUAAAAAAAUAAAAUUCUAAAAAUAAUAGAAAAAUAGAAAAACAACUUAAAACUGCAAAAAGACCAAAAAAAGAAGUAGAAUUUUUUACUUAAUUAUGGAGCAAGACAAGGCAAACAUUCUAAGUUUGAUUAGUCUCGUCGUAACUUUUGAAAUGAUAUAUUAUAUGCCUAAAAUGAACAUAUAAAGCCCAAGUUAUAACUCCUAAAAGAUACCUCCUUCAUGAUGAUCCUACGCAACUAUCUUACGUCGAAAAUGAAUGCAAAAGUUACAUUUCAAAUUAAAUUCAAAACAAUCAAUUCAAGCAUUAAUGCUGAGUUUUUUUAACCAAAAUACUCUAAGGAUUUUAUAAAUUGCUUUCUAAUUUUAUUUUGCAAAACACACCAAAUCAAAGUGAUUUUUCUCUUUUCUCUCAAACAAUUUCAACAUUUUGUAAUAGAGCUGAUGACAGGCAUUAGUAAACAAUGUGCAAUAGUAAUGCACAACAAUAUAGAAAAGCAAAUUGGUAAAGUGUAAACUAUGAAAUGAUAAAAUAGAGCCUUUUUUUUUUAAGAUCACAUGUUAAGUUAUUGGCAUAUUUUGUCAGGAUCAUAUACUUUUUUAGAUCUACGUGCUUUUGGUCAAAUUUAAUAUAAUCAAAAGUUUAAAACUGAAGUCCAUAUUCAAUAAUAAUAAACUAAUAAUAAUAGAUAAUGUAAUACUGACUAUUAAUUUAGAUCCUACGAUAUUAAAAUUCUUUUUUAAUACUUAAUAAAAAUAACAACAAUAAUAAGUUUUUUUUAAGGGUUAACUUAAUUGUUAACUUAGACUUACAUUGAGUCAUAAAUCAUAGUUUAUAACAACAUUAAUGCAUAUAUUCAUAAAAAUCAUGAUAUUUAUAAUUUAUUUAUUAAAAUCAUGAUAUCACCUAUUCAUUUAACAAAUUAUAAACAUAAAACAAUUAGAUUUUUUUUAAAUUAAGAAUUAAAUGAAUCUAAAAAACUUAAGCUAAUAAAAUGCAUUAAAGAUUCAAUUUCAAAUUUUUUUGCAAAAUUAUAAUUAUUCGUAAAAUUAUAAAAUUUCAAGUUUACUUUCAUUAAAAAGUUUUUACCUUAAUAUACUUUGACUCGCAUGUUAUUGAUAACGCAUAAGCCAUGUGCUAAUCCUCCAGUGAAACAUUUUUAUUGCGGUCCUUUUCACGUGCUGUGUUUUAGCCUAUCUUUAAUCAUAUCAUGCUUUUAAGGUCCACUUGCCUAAAAUUCUCAACUCAGCCCAGCCCACGUGCAUGCCAUGCCUCGUCGCUUACCCUACCAAAACGUCCUUGUGCCGUGCCACGCUAAACGGAUAUGUGUCGUGCAUGUGUCGUUCCACCUGUCACCUGGCCCAUUAGUCAUCUCUAGAAAACACCAUAUAUUUAUUUAGCGUGUUGCAAGCACUGUGUCGCAAGUUGCUCAAAUUUCCCGCAAACGGAGGCUAAAUUAGCGCGCACGGGUACGCUCAGUAAAAGUCUGCCCAAUAACGGGAUGCACUCAACAGCAAGGUGCGCUGAGCGAUGGGCUGCCUCAUAUAACUAGUGAGUUAUGGUGCACUUAGUAAGUGAAUAGCCCAUAAUCAACAAGCCUAGCCCAAUUUUCAGAUUUCUCUACACCUUGUAAAUGGCUAGAUUUUUAGGCAAGUUGCAUGAACUCUCUAUGAAAUAAGGGUGAGCACCCACUAUUUGCUCACCACCACACCACACACACAACACCUAGCAACUCAAAAACUCUCGUAAAAAUCUCUCUUAUAAUUUCUCUUUUGUGAGCAAUAAAAUAUUCUUUAGCCAUAUUGCUCUCUUCUCUCUAGCAGUAUUGCAAACAUCCUUACUUGGCUAGUUUGAGAAACUCUUUAGGCUUACUUAACAACUUUUGUACUAGAAGUUAUGUAAGUACUGCACGGGGUUGUUGUGCAAAAUAGUCAUCUCGUGACAACCGGCUUAGUUUUGCUUUGCACAUUUGCGCCCACAAUAAUAAAAGCCAAAAUAAGAUAUCAAAAAAUGUUGGGAUUUGACAUCAAGUAGAAGAGGUUUUGCCCACUCCAAAAUCAUCAAAAUGAUUAAUCAUCUUCUAUAUAACCUGAUGAUUUUUUUAACCUUUGAGAAAGCAACCACAGAGGUGGAACAAACUUCUACUCCUGGGACCUGACAUACGGUUAAUGAAGAAGGGUAAUUUCGUAAAAUUCCAAUCAAAAUUAGAAAAAAGGCAAGCCAUAUUCAAAAGUCAAUCUUGAUCAAACAAACGGCAGGAGGGACAUCUGUAAUUACAGCAUUUUCGAGGAAUUGUUUCUAAAAAUAACUAAAACGGGAAAACCCGAAUGGGAAAAUUGGAAAGCGACAAACACGAAAGUUCAAAGUUUGCUUGGUUGGGCUAUGUUCUGCGAGUGGGAGAGACCGAUUGUAGAAAGGGUUUCUUUUUUUCUUUUUUUUUUCAAAUAGACAUAUAGCCACGUGUUGUCUCAUAUAAAAAAUAAUACUUUAUAUAAGUCCUAGGUCAGUUGGGCUGGAAAACAUUUAAAAUCGAACAUAUCAGGCACGUUGUAAGUUCGCAAUUGGAGAAUCAUGUUGUCAGCCCCGCAACCCCCAAAUGGGAACUUUAGAUAGAAAAAUAUAGCAUCGCAAUGAUAAUAUUUAUUAAUAAUAAAUUUACUUAUUACAAUUGUUCUUGUCAAAGACUCUUUGAUGGUAUUUCAUGUGUUGAAAAAAUAUAAAAUAGUUUCAUUAUCAAUACAAUUAAAAACAUAUUUUUUAAUAUAUACAACUAAAUUAUCACUUGAUUUGUUCUUAAAAUGUUUUAAUAAUAGCAAAAAUAUGGAUAUAAUGCAACAUGAAGAACAAAUAUGAAUACACACACAUUAGGGAAUGGCAAUGGGAAGAAUAGGAGAGGGGACCGACAUCUCCAUACCCAUUUUCGAUAUUCUGUAUAUGUCCUCAUCUCCUCCCCAUUCCAUCAGAAUUACUUGAGAAAAUUUUCAUCCUCUCCCCAAAUAAUAACAGGGGAUUCCUGAGAGUCCCCGAUCUCCAAGUAAUUAAUAUAUUUUUAAUUUUUAAUUUUAAUUAAUUAUAUUAAAAUAAUUUUUUUAAUAAAAGUAGAAUUAAGGCGGUAGCUAGCUACCAUAGAAAAUUAGAAAUUAGGUUUUACGAUUUUGCCUUAAUUUUUGUUUUAUUAGAUAAACGUUUAAAAUAUUUAAUGAAUAUUAUAAAUUAAAAAAAAAAUUGGGCCAACAAGAUCCUGUCUGGCUUUUUUUAUGUCCUGAAUAGAUAUUUAAAAUUAUAACUAGUUAAGCAGGCUCAUUAAAGCAUCUGACAAAUUGUUACAUACAACCAGGAUAAUUAGAGUGCUAAUCAAAUAACCCAAAUUAUAGAUUCCCUAAUCAAACAAACAUAACAAAAAAAUUUUGAAAUGCAAUUUUUUUUUUCAGAAAUGCGAAUUGGCACCAAAUAAAAUUGAGCAAAAGCUAAUGCUGUCCUACAAGUUGACAUGGUCCUCCUUUAGCAAGGUUCAAAUAGGGAAGACCAUAGUAAAAAUAAGAGGAAAUAAUUUAACUUUAUCUAUAAAUCCUACAAUUUAGAUGCUAGUAAAAUAACUCCAAUCUGAAGCAUCAAAUGUACAAGAUUCGCCUCAUCAAAAAAAAAAAAAAAAAUGUAUAAGAUUCGUAAGUAAAAACAGGUUACACGAUUAGUUAUUACCUCGAUUACGUUGUAUAUAUUGCAUGGUAUACCUAAUCAGACAAAUAACGUGGACAUGAAGUGAAUAACUUAAUUUGAAUCUUGCUAUUUUAUUUUAUAAUUUUAAACUAAUUAAUUCAUGCACCCACAUUAUGCUUGCAUUAAGUGGAUACAAUACAACAGAAGUAUUCUACAAUCUCUUAUACGAAGAUUCUUAAUUCAUACUCUUAUUGGGGACUCUUUUUAAAAUUGACCUUUUCAUAAUAUUAUUUGUGAAGUAUAUUUUCAAACUAAUUACAGAAUAAUUUUAAAUUAUUGUAUAAACCGAUGAUUGAUAACACCGGGUAGACUAAUGAGACAAAGUCAAAACCAUUAGCCGGUCCAACAGCUCCACUCAUGUUAGCUUCCGUAAAGCACAACUCUAUCGACUCUCGUGACGUCUAGCAUCUUCGUUUAUAAAUACCCCACCUUCAGCCUCUCGACUCUCUCAAGACACUCCGACAGCAAGACUUCAGUUGGGGUGGGAACCGUUGGUGCUGGAAGAGGUGGUAGUCAUGGAAGCAAACAAUAUGGAGAUAUCGGCGGAGGCUGGUGGCCAGCCCCGCCGGAAGCUAUGAAUAUCCUCAACUGGAAUGUUCGGGGUCUGGGGAAUCCCUGAACAUUUCAAGCCUUAAGAAAAAUCCUCCAAUUGCAUGGUGCUCAGCUGGUGUUUUUGUGUGAAACAAAGGUAUCAACCAUGCAAAUGAAUGUGAUUGCAAAUAAGCUGAGUUUUGAGAAUUGCCUUGCGGUGAACUGUAAUGGAAGAGGAGGCGGAAUAGCAAUGCUCUGGAAGUCAGAUAUUGGGGUGCAAAUCAAUUCAUAUAGUUAGCACCACAUUGAUGCCGAAACUCAAAUGCCAAAUGGAAAUCGAAUGCGAGUUACAGGAGUGUACGGACAUCCGGAAACAGGUUAGAAAAAACACACUUGGAUGCUCCUUAGGCGGCUAGCGGUUUUAUCUUCUAGCCCUUGGUUGUGUUGUGGAGACUUUAAUGAAAUUUUACAUCCGGAAGAGAAGAGUGGCGGCAAUGACAGGAACGUGAAUUUAAUUAAUGAUUUCAGAGAAGUUUUGAGAGAUUGUGGGUUAAAGGAUGUCGGGUAUCGGGGGUAUGCUUUUACUUGGAAUAAUGGAAGAUAUGGGAAGGGAUUCGUUGAAGAAAGGUUAGACAGAUUUGUUUGCACAAAAGCUUGGAGUGACAGAUUUGUGGACUGUGAAGCAAGCAACCUGGACUUCGGAUCAUUGUCCCGUGUUGAUGGCUGUUCAAGUGAGAAGGGAGAGCAUGAACCAAAGGGGUAGACAUUCCUCGCGAAUCCAUUAUGAGGAUAUGUGGAGCUCGUAUGAUGUAUGCAAAGAAAUAAUUAAGGAGGAAUGGAGUUGGUUUAGAAACUGGAGCAGUGAAGAUCCAGCCCAAUCCUUUCGACAAGCAACAAAAGUUUCGAUGGGUAGGCUGUUGGGGUGGAGCAAGCUGGAGUUUAAAAAAGCGUGACAGAAAAUUAGAGAAGCUAAAGAAUCAGCUGCAGUAGUUAAAACAAAGAAGGGUGCAAUAUGAAAGUGGUGAGGAAAUUCGGAAGGUGGAGAAGCAAAUCCAAAAUAUUCUCAUGGAUGAAGAAAUCUACUGGAAGCAACGCUUAAGAGCAGAUUGGCUCAAGGAGGGGGACAAAAACACAAAAUUCUUCCACGGCAAAGCGACGGCAAGAAGAAAAAAAAAACAGAAUUUGGGGGAUUGAAGAUAAUUUCAGGAGAUGGAUUGAGAAGCCAAAAGAAGUAGAGCAUGAGUUUUGCAACUAUUUCACCAAUCUUUUUACAUCAACCCAGCCAAGCCAAGAUCAAAUUGCAGCAGCCUUGGAAGGAAUAACUCCGAGAGUUUCAGCUAGCAUGAAUGAGAGUUUGGGGGAGUCGUUUACAGCCGAGGAAGUCUUGGAAGCUUUGAGUCAAAUGUGCCCAACGAAGGCUCCGGGGCCGGAUGGUUUGCCAGCAGUGUUUUACCAAAAGCAUUGGCAUACGGUUAAGGAGGGAGUGCUCACCACUUUUCUGCAUAUCCUCAAUUCACAAGGUACCAUAGGCCCUCUAAACCACACUUACAUUGCUUUGAUACCAAAAAUCGGAAAGCCUAGGAAAGUGACAGACUUUAGGCCUAUUAGUUUGUGCAAUGUUAUCUAUAGAAUUGUAGCUAAAACAGUUGCUAAUAGAUUUAAGCAAAUUUUGCACAAAAUCAUCUCUUCGUCGCAAAGUGCCUUCAUCCCCAAUAGGUUGAUCACUGACAACAUCAUAGUUGGCUACGAAUGUUUGCACAAGAUAAGGCAUUGUAAAGGCAAGCGAAAUGGAUUAAUUGCAUUAAAGCUUGAUGUUAGUAAAUCUUAUGACAGAUUGGAAUGGAAUUUUUUAGAGCAAACUUUGAAAAAACUAGGCUUCUCGCAUCAAUGGAUUAGCUUGAUCAUGAGGUGCAUUAGUUCGGUUUCAUUUUCUGUGUUAAUAAAUGGCUCAGUGAAAGGCUUAAUUAAACCCAAAAGGGGCUUAAGACAAGGUUGCCCCCUCUCUCUGUAUUUGUUUAUUACAUGUGCAGAGGCUUUUUCCUCAUUGCUGCAGCAGGCUGAGCAACAACGACUUAUUCAUGGGCUAUCAUUUGGAAACGAUUUGAAGAUUUCGCACCUUUUAUUUGCUGAUGACAGCCUUGUCUUCAGCAGAGCUUCCAUGGCCGACUGUCAAAAUUUGAAGAUGAUCCUUGAGCGCUACUCCACAGCUUCCGGUCAAAUUUUUAAUUUCGAGAAAUCUUCUCUUUUUCUCAGUGGCAACGUACAUCAAGAUCAAGCUGAGGCAAUUGGGAAUCUCUUUCAGCUCAAUAUUGUGUCGAGACAUGAAAAAUACUUAGGCUUGCCAUCUAUGAUCGGGAGAAAGAGGAGCAGUUUUUUCAGUGACAUCAAGCUGAAGGUUUUCAAUAAGAUCUCAAGCUGGCAGCAUAAAUUUUUUUCUUGCGGAGGGAAAGAAGUCUUAAUCAAAGCGGCUGUUCAAGCCAUCCCAGCCUACGCAAUGAGCGUUUUUAAAAUUCCGAUGGGUGUUUGUGAUGAUAUUAAAAAAAUGGUGGCAAAGUUUUGGUGGGGCUCCAAGAGGGAAGGGAGGAAUAUUCACUGGGCGAAGUGGGAAAAGAUGAGUCAAGCUAAGUGUAAUGGAGGGAUGGGAUUUCGUGAUUUUUCAAGUUUUAACCGAGCCCUUCUAGCAAAGCAAGGCUGGAGGAUUCAGCACUGUCCAGACUCGCUGGUGGCAAGGGUCCUGCAAGCCAAGUAUUUCCAGUCAAAAAAUUUCUUGGAUGCAAAGCUCGGCUCAAACCCUUCAUAUAUUUGGAGAAGCAUUCUGUGGGGAAGGAAAGUAAUUUGCUCGGGCUCUAGGUGGAGAGUUAGCAAUGGUCAGAAAAUUCAUAUUCAUAAGGCUAAUUGGAUCCCACGGCCUUCCACAUUCCAACCAGUGGUUAAGCCAACUUUGCCUUCUGAUGCUAUGGUCUCUGAAUUAAUCAAUGAGGCAAACUGCUGGGAUAAGAAGAGGAUUUAUGAGCAUUUCGACAAAAUGGAUGCUGAUUUAAUUACUAAGAUUCCUCUGCCUCGAAGACCAAGGGAGGAUGAGCUGAUUUGGCAUUAUGAAAAAAAUGGCCAGUUCUCGGUUAAAAGUGGGUACCAAACAGCUCUCCAAAUAAAGUUUCCAGCCAUGCCUUCAAGCUUAGUGGUUUCCAAAAAUGAGUGGAAUAUUAUUUGGUCCCUUGCUUUGCCUCAAAAGAUCAAAAUUUUUGCCUGGAGAGCAGACAAAAACCAACUCCCCUCAGCUGAGAAUCUGUGGAAGAAAAAGAUAAUCCAGGAACCCACUUGCCAAGUGUGUGAAAUGGGAACGAAAAAUGCUUUUCAUGCUCUUGUGGCCUGCAAAUCGGCUGAGAAGGUAUGGAAGCUAAUCCAUUUUGAAGAUGAUAUUCAUGCAGCUCACAAUCAAGAUAUUUUAAGUUUGCUGCAUGCUAUGAAAAGAAUGAGAAGCAGAGCUGACCUGGAGCUGUUGGCAACAAUUUUUUGGGUAAAAUGGAAUGCUAGGAAUCAGUUGCUUUUCAAAGGAAAAAGGGAGAACCCCCAGAUUAUGGUAGCUAAAGUUGAAGCUAUGAUUGCAGCUUAUAAGAGGGUGCAUUCUCCAGCUGAGGCUUGCAGUGAAACAGAGCAGAGUGUACCUUCCCAGACAUGGAAUCCCUCUCAAGAUGGCUUCAUAAAAGUAAACAUUGAUGCAGCUAUCAGCUUCGAAAAGAACAUUGUAGGGCUGGGGGCAGUGAUCAGAGAUGAUUCGGGGCAUGUUACAGCAGUUGCUAUCAAGGUUUCUAAGUUUCAUGGAGAUGUUUCUUAUGCGGAAGCAGAAGCUAUGGAAUGGGGUAUGUUAGUGGCGAGAGAAGCAAAAGUGAAAGCUGUAAUUGUGGAAUCAGAUUCUCAAAGUGUGGUCAGUUUAGUUAACAACAAGCAGGGCAGCAGAUCCGAGAUCUAUUGGGUUGUUUCAGAAAUUCAGAAGGUAGCGGAAAACUUCGAACGUGUUAGUAUUAAGUAUACGCCUAGAUCUUGUAAUGUUAUUGCCCACUCUUUAGCUAAGUUAGCUUUAGAGAAGUGCGAGACUGUUGUGUGGAAGGGUUCAUACCCUUUACAAGUGAUGUAUCUCCUUUCAUCGUUGAUUUAAUUGAAAUCUCUUUUCAAAAAAAAAAAAAAAAAAAAGACACUCCAAAAAAAACUCCAAAGUCCAACAACAACAUUUUACAAUCUCUCUCAAUUUUUCUCGCUUCAGUUUACCAUCCUCGAACACGAACACGAACACGAACAUGAAUUAAGUUAAUUAGUUUAUGGAACACAAACUCAUCAUCAACAUCAUGUCCUAAUUGAAAAAGAAGGAUUGCGAGGGAAACUAAGCAUGUGCCUUCAUUUUCACUUGAAAUAAAGCGCGAUGGAAAGAUCUUAUGUUAUCACAUGAUGCCGUGUGAUCACCUAGAAGCCCUUCCACGCACAUUUCUUCUCAAAUUGUCUUCUUCUAAUUUCUUGGGUCACCGCGAAACCACAAUGUCAAUGCGAGGAUGAGCGAGUGUUGUUCAGCUUGUAGUUUUUGGAGCCGGUCCUGGGCUUUCUUUAUUUUUUUCAUCUUCUGCUGGUAGGCAUCGCCAAAAGGCAAAGAGAAUCCUCUGGUGUUCGUGGAGUUGGUCCUCGAUGCGAUUGAUUUCUUCUCCAAGUUGAGCAAGCCUUUGUGCCAUAGCCAUCAUUAUUUGCUUUCGAUCGAGCACUUUUCAUCUGCAACCAAAUGUUUCAUCAAUAUUUUGAAGUAUACACACUUGUUUCAACAGCUAUCCGGAUCACGUUAAAAGACAAUUUUGCCCUCACUUAAAGUGUAAAAUCACUAAAAAAGCCACAACAGUAGUUUCAAAUUCCAAUUGACUUGGGUGGAUAUUAAAAUUUCUUAAAGGUUAAAAAAAAAGUAAAAAUGUUUUGUUAUGGGAAUUGAAAUAUCCCCUAUAUCUUCAUCCAUAAUCGUCUAUCCAUGAUAACAAUUUAAUAAACUUGAAAAAGCAAGAUAUCCAAUCCCAGUGAAUCAAACAGCCAAUUUUCUUCAUAAAGUUUAGCUUUUGCUUUUAAAAAUUUUAACUCUUGAGACCUUAAAUAAACUCAUAUUCAAAUUUACAUUUUCUAUAAUGAAAAUCUUCAAUUUACCCUUUUAAUAUUUUGAAAAACGGGUCCAGCUACAAUACAAUUGUAGUUUCAUACCUAUUUUUUUGUCUUUUUGUGAUCCAACCAUUGGAUCCAACCUAAGAGUUGCAAAGUCUAUUCCAACAACUUGGAUGUUAUUAUUUGGUUAUCAACAAUAUGGUCCCUUAUGUUUACUAAAAGAAUAAGAAAAAAUUAAAUUUCAAAAUUUUGACACAUUGGUCCGUUAAAAUAUUUUAUUAUCAAAGGUAAUUUAGUAAAUGAACAUAUUUAUAUAUUAAAAACAUGGAUGAAUUAUUUUAACUUGCUAAAAUACUCUCAAAUUCCAUUUACUUAAAAUACGAAUUAGAUUUAAUAAUACUAUUUUGUAUUUAGUGUAACACAAAAUUAGACAAGUUUUUAUAUAAAUUUUGACAAUAUUAAAAUGAAAAAUAAAUAAAUAUUAAACAAAUGCUUGGAUAGUCAUUUAAAUUCAUUAUAGAGCUUAUAAAUAAUAUUUUCAAAAUAAUAAAUUUCUAUAUGUAAAUUUGAAAUUAUGUAAAAUUACUUAGACUUUAUCACACAUAUGAAGCUGAUCAAUUAUUUAUUUGAUCUGAAAAUAAAUUAAUUGUAUAAUAUUUAUUCUAUUACUUAAAUUUAAAAUUUGUUGAGAAGGAGAUAGAGAGAAUAUUUUUUUUAGAAUUUUAAAUUAUUAUAUUUUAAUUGGGUUUAUUACAUAAAAUUAAGUUUUUAUUAUUUGCAUAAAACAAUAGGAAUUGUUGAAGAAAAUGCCAAAUAAAUUUUUUAGAAUUUUGAAAUUAUUAUAUUUUAAUUGGGGCUUAUUGUAUAAAAUUUUUAAAACUUAUAAUUUUUAUUAUUUACAGAAAACUACAGGGACUGCUAAAGAAAAUAUCAAAAUAGUGUUUGGUACAACGGGGUAAGAUAGUUUUGCUCUUGAAAAACAUUAAUUUACUUCUAUUUAUCAGUCAAAAGACUAAAAUAAAUGGAGAUAUGAUGAUGAUAAACUUUUUAACUUUUUAGUGGUAUUUGAUAAAUAUAAAUAAAUUGAAAAUUCUCGCUUUUACUUUUUAUUGGGCAUAAGUUAAAAAUCUUACUCUCUAUUUAUUAUGCUUUAACAAGAGAAAGAAAGAAAACGGAAAACAAAUCUCUUCUAUAGCAGUCUUAAAAAAAUUUUCAGCUGAGACUUAACCCAUAAAUUUUUAAAAACUUUUUGGUGGAUUCAUAUACAUUGAACUAGUCUUCUUUCUAUAUUACAUGGAUUAAAUUUUGAAAUUAGGGCAACCUAUUGUUAAAUCUGCCUUUCAAAUUAUUGACUUAAUAUUGCCCAAAAAAAAAAAAAAAAAUUUUCCUAUUACAGAAUUUUUCAUUGUUGCAGGAAACUGGAGUCGCAGCUGACAGUGCUCAAGGGCAAUCCUUAAAUUAAAUUUCAUUGCAAUCUUUGAAAUUUAAAUUAUUUGAGAAAAAAAAAAUCUUUGCAUAAUAUUGAACAACGCAUUUUCUUGUAUAAUAUCAAUGAAACAAUGCAUGUGAGGGGAAUAAAAAGAAUAAGACAGUAAUUAGCACUAUUUCAAGCAAAGAAAUCUGGGCACUAAUAUAUUUUCUCUGUUACUUUGCAAAAUUACUGCAUGUACAUGAGAUGAUUGCUUGCUACUGUAGUAUUGUGUAAGGUGAAACAUUUGAAGAAGAAUCCUUCUAAACUGGUAGUGUUGGUCGUUGUUGUCCUGCCGAGGAAGUGUCAUUAGAUUGAAACCUACUGCAAAUAUUGAUACAAAAUGGCUUCAAGGUUUCGUUGUAGAGCUGACGACAAGCUUCUGUAAGCAGCGCCCCAUAUUGAUGCACAACAAUGAUAAUGGACGAGCAAAGCCAUGCAGUGUACAAUAUGAUAUGACCAAUAUCAGAGCGUGGAACAAAUGUGGAGGCUAGCGAGACUGCAGAAACAGAUCCGGAGACUCGUGCUACAAGGGCCCAAGAUUGGGAAGAAUUCUCUUGAUGAGCUAAAUGUGCAUAACAAUAAAUGGCUGUGGUUAUGAGAAAAGACCAUAUAUUUGUUGUGUGUGUUUCAAGCAAGCGCUCAGUUGUGCCUUGCGUAUUUGCUCCCACGAUGCCGAUGAGAGCUGGAAUGAGAUAUCCAAACACGUUAUGGUAUGCGUUUGACAUCGCAGAUAAAUAAAAUUUGUUCCUGCAGAACCAUUAAAAUACUAUAUUAAGGAAAGUAUUAGAUCCAUUCCUUUAGAAAAACAGGAAUUUAAGAGAUCAUUAUGUAUUUAGUCUCAUUUAAUAUUAGUUUAAUUUUUUCAAGUCAUAGUUAUUGUGAAAAAAAAAUUAUUAAAUACUUUUAUUGAUUGGUAAGGAUUUAAAAAGGAAAUUUGGGAUUUUUUUUUUGUUUUCUUGUGAACAUUGACGGUAUAUAUGUAGGGUAAAGUUUUAUUUUUAAAUACACGUUGUGGCUCAGGUCAGAGAGAGAAGGGAGACGGUCAAGAUUGCUGGGUUGACUUUCUUUUCCCGUCAGCCAUUUUGUAAUAGAUUGAUCAGAGCAAUCAUUACCUGCAAAACUUAACACAGCACCAAAUUAACAACCAACAUUUCAAUUGAAACAAAUCUACUUGAAAAUAAAAGAAAAAGCAACUCCAAAUCAAAAUCGAAAUGAAACCUUAUCAGAGAGACAGCCGCAAGUAUGAAGAGACAAGCACGAUCCUGAAGGACUAUUACUCCAAAUCAAAAUCGAAUUAUAAGAGAGAAAGCCGCAAGUACGAAGAGAGAAGCGCGAUCCUAAAAGAUCUGAAGUCGUGUUGUAUAUAUGUCUUGUAUAGAUUGACAGAGCAAUCAAAGGCCGUGUCGACCAGAGCAAUCGAAGAGUAGAAGAGAUAAGAGAGGAAAAAAGAAGAAGAGGAGAACUGCAGCAGCAAAUGAGCAAGGGCAGUAUUUAUAGGACAAACUGAGGCCUAUAAAGGGUCCACUAGUGGACCAGAGCAAUCAAAUGUGGAUUUGAGACUAAAUAUCGACGAAGCUUUUGUGUAUAUAUUGUUUUCGUGAACUUCUCAUCUUUUAUUUAAUUGAAUUGAUAAAGGUAAUGCGAUGGAGUUGGAGUUUUACAAAGUAACUCCAAAUUUUACAAAGUAACAUCGAUAAAGUAGUAACAUCGAUAAAGUAACAUCGAUAAAGUAAUAUUGUAAGUAAGGAAAAAAGCCAAUAUUUUCCAUGUUAGGAACAUCGAUAAAGUAGUAUCAUGAUCUUCAAAUUCAAUAAUUCGGUACUGGAUUUUUUAAUAGCUGAUGGUGGUGGAAUUUCUGCAUGAAAAAGGUAGGAUAUAAACCAGAAAAAUCAAUAAAGCAUGUCAUGCAUGUUACAUUGCUACUCCAAGCGAGUAAAUUUUUCUACAUCGGAUAUGACUUGUUACGAUCAAGUUAAUAAAAGUUCAAAUCAAGAAAGAAAUCUCGACGUAGACUAUGUCGUGGACAGCGGGACACGUAUGAUGAAUCAGAUGCUGGUUACUCUUCAUAUAGUUCCUGUACAACAUAAUGAUUACUUACAAUAUUACUUUAUCGAUGUUACUUUAUCGAUGUUACUACUUUAUCGAUGUUACUUACUUUAUCGAUGUUACUACUUUAUCGAUGUUACUUUUCAAGUAGAUUUGUUUCAAUUGAAAUGUUGGUUGUUAAUUUGGUGUUGUGUUAAGUUUUGCAGGUAAUGAUUGCUCUGAUCAAUCUAUUACAAAAUGGCUGACGGGAAAAGAAAGUCAACCCAGCAAUCUUGACCGUCUCCCUUCUCUCUCUGAACUGAGCCACAACGUGUAUUUAAAAAUAAAACUUUACCCUACAUAUAUACCGUCAAUGUUCACAAGAAAACAAAAAAAAAAUCCCAAAUUUCCUUUUUAAAUUCUUACCAAUCAAUAAAAGUAUUUGAUAAUUAUUUUUUUUCACAAUAACUAUGACUCGAAAAAAUUAAACUAAUAUUAAAUGAGACUAAAUACAUAAUGAUCUCUUAAAUUCCUGUUUUUCUAAAGGAAUGGAUCUAAUACUUUCCGUAAUAUAGUAUUUUAAUGGUUCUGCAAGAACAAAUUUUAUUUAUCUGCGAUGUCAAACGCAUACCAUAACGUGUUUGGAUAUCUCAUUCCAGCUCUCAUCGGCAUUGUGGGAGCAAAUAUGCAAGGCACAAAUGAGCGCUUGCUUGAAACACACACAACAAAUAUAUGGUCUUUUCUCAUAACCACAGCCAUUUAUUGUUAUGCACAUUUAGCUCAUCAAGAGAAUUCUUCCCAAUCUUGGGCCCUUGUAGCACGAGUCUCCGGAUCUGUUUCUGCAGUCUCCUUGAUCUCCACAUUUGUUCCACGCUCUGAUAUUGGUCAUAUCAUAUUGUACACUGCAUGGCUUUGCUCGUCCAUUAUCAUUGUUGUGCAUCAAUAUGGGGCGCGGUUUACAGAAGCUUGUCGUCAGCUCUACAAUGAAACCUUGAAGCCAUUUUGCAGUCAGCUCUAUAACGAAACCUUGAAGCCAUUUUGUAUCAAUAUUUGCAGUAGGUUUCAAUCUAAUGACACUUCCUCGGCAGGACAACAACGACCAACACUACCAGUUUAGAAGGAUUCUUCUUCAAAUGUUUCACCUUACACAGUACUACAGUAGCAAGCAAUCAUCUCAUGUACACGCAGUAAUUUUGAAAAGUAACAGAGAAAUCAUAUUAGUGUCCAGAUUUCUUUGCUUGAAAUAGUGCUAAUUACUGUCUUAUUCUUUUUAUUCCCCUCACAUGCAUUGUUUCAUUGAUAUUAUACAAGAAAAUGCGUUGUUCAAUAUUAUGCAAAGAUUUUUUUUUUCUCAAAUAAUUUAAAUUUCAAAGAUUGCAAUGAAAUUUAAUUUAAGGAUUGCCCUUGAGCACUGUCAGCUGCGACUCCAGCUUCCUGCAACAAUGAAAAAUUCUGUAAUAGGUAAAAAGUCUCUUUUUUGGCAAUAUUAAGUCAAUAAUUUGAAAGGCAGAUGUAACAACAGGUUGGCCUAAUUUCAAAAUUUAAUCCAUGUAAUAUAGAAAGAAGACUAGUUCAAUGUAUAUGAAUCCACCAAAAAGUUAUUAAAAAUUUAGGAUUUAACACUUGGAAAUGGCAAUUAGGUACUACCUCAAGAGAUUUUACAGCUUGAACCAACCAAGGGGGUAUGUUUGCAAUUGCUGUGACUAAGUAUAAAUAGAUGGUUGGUCAGUGGUAAGAACCAGCCUUCUAGCAUCUUUAGGCACAAAGAACUCAAGAAAAAACCCCACAUGAGACACAAGACCCAAUGCUCAGCAUGCAGCAAGCUUAUCUAGAUUCAGGUGCUUUAAGAAUCAAAUUCACAUUACAUGAAAAGUUCACUAUUCAGAAUGGCACUCUGUAUGACAGCAAAGAGAUAAGUGGAAGAAAAAAAAUCUGAAAAUCAACAUACCUUUUUCUUUGUGAUUAGGUAGUCGAACCCCACUAACUCGCUUAUUUCAAGCAGCCAGGUCAGCUCAACACGGUCGUCUUGUAUCCUUCAAGAUGCACAACCCUUGUGAAAUUUCCAUCCUGGUUCCUACUAAUUUGCUCCACAAUUGCAUUCCCAAUCUAUUUAUGUGAAUCGUAUUUCCAGAGAUCAACUCGGCAUUGGCAAGGUCCAUCCAUAUUGUUUUUGCAUAUGUUGUAGCUUUCACUCCUACACCUUUACGCGUCUUAUGCCUCAGUUUGAUGCGAACUCAUGGUUUGUCAAGGCCAUUGGUAAGAGUCAGUCAGUCAGCAAUAGUAAUAUCUGCCUUUCUUCAAUCACAGCAGCGAGUAUAGGGCACGCAGGAUUAAUAAUCUUCUUAUUAAUAUAGUAGUUCAAAGUUUGUCACAUUCCAAAUGGUUGAGACUGUUUGAAGCCACCAGAAAAAGUAAAUAUACAAAAGUCAGUCUUCCACUUAACUGAUAGCAAAUACUAUAUGAAAUAUGAAAAAUUACUUCAGCUACAUUGUCUUACCAGUUCAAGGAUAAACUGCAACAGAGAUUCAAUUUUCAGUCUCCUACGAAUAAUUCUUUGGAGGGCCAAAAAAAGAGGAUUAUCUAAUCCAUUAUGUACAAACCACAAAAGCUUGCUGAGAGGCAUAUUACACCAUUUUCAACCAGUUAAACUCAUAAAUUUGAACCUUUAUACUCUCAUAUCCUCUUGAACCAUAUGGUAUUGGGCAUUACGAGCAUUGUACUCACCAGAUCUCAAACUAAAAGACAUGAAAGUUAAUCCAUAAGGUAGGUAUAUCUUGUAAUUUGACCUGAUUUGAUCGUGGGAUCUGGGCUGCAACAACUGGACGGGAUCUCAAAGGGACUUGCUGGAAUCUUGCAUGUUCAACUUCCUGCUACGACACCACUAUUAACAUCCCAAUUUUCUUAUGAAAACACACGGAGAUAAUAGAAUGAUAUCUCAAUGCUUCAAGCCAUUCACAAACAUUUUCCAUGUAAUUGGUUGCAAUAUCAGACGAGCUUAAUCCUGCCACCAAUAAUCUGCUUCACCUUGAAGCACGAAUAAGGCAAACACGCUAUCCUCCACUCGUCAUUCGG